AGAGAGAGAGAGUUAGUGAUGUCGAUUGUGGAGCUAACCUAUCCUGAACGAUCAAACUGAGCUAAGCAGGUGGAGCUCACGUGACCUGAACGAUCAAGCUGAGUUAAGCAGGUGGACCUCAUGUGACCUGAAUGAUCAAGCUGCGAUGUACACGUUGAAUGAUCAAUGUAUAGGAGACUCCACGUGGUAGAGUCCUUCAUACCAGUCUACUGUCCACCAAACGUCAAGCCUGUCAAGGCAUAUACGUUUGUUCUUCAUAGGGUUGACUUGUAUUAGUCCACUCUGCAAUUGAAAAUCUCAUUGUCAAAAUGAUCUACGCAUAUCGACCUACUCACAAAAUGUGCAUAUUCAUAUUUUCUUUUUAAUAUUAAGGUAAAUGUUGUUUUGCUCCAACAUCAAACAAACGGAAAUAAAUGGAUAUAUUCGCGUGUUUUGUCAAAUGUGAAUCAAGCAUUGGAUGUUUCGUGCUAAUAUCAAUAUUUGAAUCAAGCAAAAACUUGAAGGUUCUUUCACUCUUUAGAAAACCAAGACAUACUACAUUGUAUGUUUUAUGCUAAAUAUUAUUCAUGCCAUAAAACAAUUAUCUAUAAUGAACUGCAUCGAAUUUGAAAUUAGAAUGUUUAAUCUUAAUCCAACGAUUCUUUAUGUAUUGAACGUAGAAUUUAGAAUUCUAACUCAAUGUUACAUCUAAAUCUGGUAAUUUUUUCAUGCAGUUUAUGAUACAUUUUUAUUUUUCAACCAUCUUUUUUGUUAAUGACAUAAACAAUUUCUAAAACCUCAAUGUCCAAGUUCUAUAAACUCGACCAUUGAAAAGGUGUAAACCAUAGACAAGUCUUGGUAACUAGAAGAAGAAUUACCUUUACCUUAUGAACAAUGACAUUUUUCACUUAAUUUAACCAAAGACUAUACACCACCACAGAAUGUUACACCUUAUAGAUGCACAUCACAUCAACUCAGCUGCCAAGGUCCCCUAUCUCCAUUCCUCAGUUUCUCCAUCCUUCCAAUCACUGUUACCCACGUUCAUCCUUGUUGGAUAACAGUUUCACUUUUUUUUUUAUUGAUCCUUUUCCCCUGUCUUGGUCUCAAUUGGCGCACCCCAUUUUGGGUGCCAUUGCCAUGCCAUCUUUUUUCCCCAAAUUGCUACUUUCUAUCACCGUCAUUUUUAAGUUUAUCAUUCACAAUAGAUUAAUCUAUCAACUCGGAUAAGUUCACAAAAAAUUACAAUUACAAAGCCAUCCUCAAUAAUUUAAUAAUAACGUAUAGGUAAGAUUUAAACCUAAAACCUUUAAUUAAAAGUCUUGAAUCACCUCAUUCAAAAGUUAUUGAAUAUAAUUGCUUUUCUUAAUCUGAAUAUAAUAUUUUCAGCCCAUUAACUUAAAAAACUUAUUCACAAUUUUUUUGAUAAAAAUGUUUUAUGUACACCUACUUUUUCAUAUACCUGCAAUAUCUAAUUAAUCACGUGUAAAUAAUAUGGUUAGUUCAAUUAUUAAUUUAAAUUAACCAUCUAUUCAAUCGAAUUAACCACAUUUUAAAAUCGAUUAAUCAAGUGUAUUCGUUAAUGUAUUUUUAUAGACCUCCAACUCAGCAUGUGUACAAUUAUAUCAUAUAAUCUACAUAGCAUAGCAUAUAGGAUAGUAUUAUAUAUAUGUAUAUAACUUUGUUUGACUCUUUGAAAACUAGUGGUAAAAGAGUGAGUGGUUGCUAUAAAUAUUCUAGUAGGAAGUACUUUAACAUUCCGUUGCAUCUUACUUAUUAUUUAUAUAUCCUUCCUCUUCUUGGAGAAGAAAAAGAAGAAGUGAGAGAUAAUGGGAAAUUGUCAAGCUAUUGAUACAGCAACUCUUGUAAUACAACAACCAAAUGGUAAAGAAGAAAGGUUGUAUUGGCCAGUCACUGCUAGUGAAGUGAUGAAGACACACCCUGAUCACUAUGUUGCUCUUCUUAUCUCCACAACAUUAUGCACUUCAAAAGACAAAGAAAAUUGUUCAAAUAAGCGUAGCGACGACGACGACGACAACAACAAUAACAAAGUUCGUAUUACACGUAUAAAACUUCUUAAGCCAACAGAUACACUUUUGCUUGGUCAAGUUUAUAGACUCAUCUCAGCUCAAGGUUAGUUACAACUUCAUUUGAGCUUUGACCUUUUUCUUCUGAUUCUUUAUAUUGUUUUUCACCCUUAAAGAGAUUAUUUUGUUCUUUCUAAUUUGUGUCUUUAUGUUGUUUUUGGUUUCAGAGGUUACAAAGGGUAUGUGGGCAAAGAAACAAGCAAAGAUGAAGAGAAACUCUUUGCCAGAAUCAGCACAAAAGUCAAAUCAGAUUAAGGAAAGGAUUAAUGAUAAAACAGCUAAUAGGUCUGAACCUAAAGAUAACAAGGUAAAUCUCAACUUAAAUUAUGAUUUUUACUGUUUCUACUUCCAAAUACAAGUUGAUUGAAUCUGCAAGAACAUUAAUAUCUUGAGUAGUGCUUGAUGUAAUAGUUUAAUUUGCUUAUUGUCAAACAACUCCUUCUUAUGAGUGGUAUGAAGCACGAACACUCUUCAGAUUAGACAUGUCUCAGUGUCGAACACGUGUCGUGUUUGAUAUGACACGGCACUGACACAUAUAAUUACAUUAAAUUAUAUGAUUUUUUCAAAUUAUUAACGAUAUCGGUGUGUCAGUGUCCUUGUCGUGUCCGAUGUUCGUGUCCGUAUCGGUGCUUCAUAGAGUCAAUAAGCAUAUUUUGCAAAAGGAUUAAUUUUAGUUUUACACAUUGAUUCAAGUUCAUUUACAUUAAUUAAUCAAAUCAAGGCUUGGUUAUAAAUUUUAUUGGCAGUUCAUAAUUUUCAUUUUCUUGACCCAUUGACUUUCUAGUAGCAAGGAAAUAGACAAGAGAAUUAUUUUCAAGAAAAUAAGAGAGAGAUUUGUUGAAUGGUAAUUAAUAAUAAUUUAUGAUUGGUUCAUUAUUUUCAGGAAACAAAAUCUGAAAGACAUGAGUCAAGGACAAAAGCAACAACAAAUGGUGGCAAUCAUAACAAUAAGUCAAGAACAUGGCAACCCUCUUUACAAAGCAUCACUGAAUCUGCCAGCUGAUAUGAGUUUUGAAUCUUACUCACAUGUGAUGACUCAAAGGGACAUGAUUGCUUAGAUCUGUGGGAAAUUAAAUUAAAUAUAACACAUUUUAGGGAAGCUAGAGCCUAGAAAUAUAAGAGAUGAUAAAAUUCCCUUUCAGCAACUUGUGGCCUCAUGCAUAAUAAUUGUGUAUAGUAUAAGUAAAAGUUGACAUAUAAUAUUGAACAUCAUUUAAUGUAUUCAGAUAUUACUCUUCAGUGAAAUCAGACUUGUCAUUACCAGUUCAGCAAUCAGCAUUAUUCUUAUUGUGAUGUUUUUUUUUUUUUUUAAUAUGUGGCUUCAAACGAAUAACAUGUCGACAUCUCAUAGAUAAUUACAAUAAAUUGAAAAAUAUGUCCUCAAAAUUGAUUAAAUAGAAGAAAUAUUUUUCAUGAGAAUUGUUUCAUAAGCUUAUGCAAAUCAACAUCCAUAAGAUUUUUGUAGGUAGGUUUAUAUAUAUAUAUAUAUAUAUAUAUAUAUAUAUGUUUUGAUACCAUAUUAAAAUUUGGUUUGGACAAUCACCUAAUUCAAUUUCUAUAUAAUCAACUUUUUAGGGUUAAGUGUGUCUCUUAUGAGAUCAAUUUUCAGACCAUAUCUCAUAAAAUGUAAAACUCUUGAUAUCUCUUCUAUUCAAUUAUAAAUAAAAAAUGCAUUAUUUGAACAGCAUUAGUUGGUGAUAGAAAAGAAAAGUGCAUUAUUUGAUGUACAAAAUAAAUAGUUCAAAUGGGGAAAUUGGGCUUGGUUGUCUUCAACUAUAUCUGUGUAAUUUUUAAAAUUAAAAGAAUAACCCUUAGAUCAACUUGAAGAAGCAAAGUAAUUAAUAAGAUAAUAACAACUAAGGAAUAUUGUUCAAAUGAAAAGUAAAAAAAAAAAGUAUGAAUAAGAAGGAAGAUGUGACAUAACACAACACAAGGUUUACUUUAAAAAAACACUUGCAAUCAAUGUGCCUGUGCAUUUUUAUAUCACUUUAGACAUAAAUGACACCUUAGGGAUAUUUUUUGUUGCAUUAGAAGCAGAAGAAUUUUUCUCAUGGCCCAUUGCAUUAUUUGUGCCUCAACUUUCUUUCUGUCUACUUGCCACUAAAGCAAUUCACCAAAAAAAAUUGCCACUCUAGCGAAAAACCCUUUUUAAUUUUUCUCUCUCUCUUUUCCUCACUUUUUUUUGAACUCAUUGGUAAUUAGGACAUUUGGCACCAUAGAAGUUCGCUUUAAUAUCUCCACAACUUCGAUCCUUUAAAUCAAUUAUAAGACUGAUCUCUGAUUCACCCGAUUGAACGUGAUUUUCGUUUGAUUCUAAAUCUUUUGAUGUAGAUCAUUUCACAAGAAUUCGAACUUGUAUUUUCUAAGUCAUUCCUCGUUAUAUUUAUAUUUAUAUUUAUAUUUAUUUAUAAUAAAGAUGUUGCAUCAAGUCAUAGGAAUGAAUAAAAACUAUAGAAUAGGACAAUUGCAACCAGCUCACCACUCGUGCACUUCCUACGCAUGAAAGUUAGUUUGCACUGCACGAGGGGGUCUUAAGAUUCCAUCAUACAAUACAUAGAAUUCCUUCCACACGGCCCACCAAUAUUUGGCUUCUUUAACUUUUCUUUUUCAAGUGCUUUUUCAUUGUUUGAAAAAUUCAUAACAUUAGUCACUACCUUCUUUACUUUCUUUCUUUUAUGUUUGAUAAUGUUUAGUACCUUUUAUUUUAUUUCUUUGCAUUAUGUAUGAUGAACAAUCAUGGAAAAUAGACAUAGAUAUUCGAGCAAAGCAUGCCUUUUUUAUUUUCCUUUCCAGAUUGCAGUUCUGUUGGUCACGAGUUUAUAUUAUCUCUUUCACAUGUCUUAGAAGAAUACUACUAGAGAUGCACAUAAAUAAAGUUAUGUAUAAAGAUGAUAAUAUUUUUUGCAAGCAAAUUCAGCUAAGUAUUGCUUAGGGUUAAAGUGUAUGUGUAUUGUACAGGGAACAAUCAUUAUAUGGUACGGCAGGAAUCAACAGAUAGUAAACAAAUAAACCGACUUCAAAUUGAUUGAUAAUAUAUACAUCACACUCAUAUAAUAAUGUAUCCACUAUCUAAUUUUAUUUUUGUUUUGAAAAAUCCCAAAGGAACCGGCCUGAUCAUGAUUAAUCAAUGAAUACCUUUUUUUUUUUUUCUUCUACCCCACAUCUUUUUCAAUUUAAGCUUAAAGACAUUUUUGGCUCCUUAAUUUAAUUUUUAGGUUCAUUUUACCCCUUAAUUCUAAAACAGGUCAUUUUAACCCCUAACUUAUCUCUAUUAGCAUAAGUAGGUCUUUCUGUCCAAAUUGUUAGUCAAGUAAAACUUCAUUAUAGAUACAUGUAUGGAUUUGAUGUGCCACCUUAAACAUUAAGGUUAAAUAAGUUAUUGUCUUUGCAAUUGCAAAAUCAUUGAUUUUCAUUUGUCGUUCUCAUAAAAAGAAUGAGUAGCAUGUUUGCGUCAAUAUAAAAUUAUCUAGAACAUUGUUUUAGUUCUAUUAAAUUUAAAUUUGUUUACUUUUCCUUAAACUUUUAGUUUUUUGAAUGAAAUUUUUGCAUGUUUAGAACUUAAUAAAAAGUCCAACCACACAAAAUUUGGAAUGCAGUCCACGAGGAGGGCAGUUGAAAUUUCGUUUCGUUCAUGAAGAAGACGAAGUUUGUAAGUGUGAAGAAGAAUAAUAAGAUGAAAGAGGUGCCAAAGAAUUAGAUUAUGACAAUACGACAAUUAAAAUUAAAAUUUUAAUCGGAAGAAGUGUCCACAUUUCCAAUAUGACAUUGUCUCGACUAGAUUAUAUCCGGUGGAGGGAAAAAGAAACAGAAAUGAGUAGGGAAUAAUAAACCAAAGUUAUAAUAAUUACCACUCAAUUCUCAGCCUUAAAAAUUUCAACAAAAUGUUAAAAUUCUUUUAUAAACUUUCCAAACAAAUAUUAUAUAACUUGCAUAAUCAAACAAAUAGAAGAACCAAUUAAGUAUUGUAACAGUGUCAUUUGAUAACAAAAAACAGACAUGAUCUUCUAAACUUGUAUAUUAAUUAUUGCCACUGCAUUAUAGUAUUAUAAUAACUGAGAUGUUGUGUUCUCAGUCAUCCCUUAGACUUGUUCAAUCUUAUCAAAUUGGCUGAAAUUACCCUUCUGUUUGAAGAUCUGAGUAUGGUGAUGUCUACAAUAAAGGCGAUGUUCAUGUGCCACAUAGUUUGAUGGACUGAUUAUACAACCUCCAUGUGUGCACCUGAAGCAAUUCUUAUGGUAAGAUUCUCCAUCAACAGCUACCUGAAAAAAAGAACAACCCCAAUGAAUAUAUGGUUAGAUCUUGGAUAUAUAUUUAAUUGUUAUGUUCCUAUCAUAUCUCAGAAGGAUUUCAAUUUUUUUAUUUACUCCCUUGGUUAAUUAAAUACUAACUUCAAAAAUUUGCUGGUGCCUAAUGGCAAAUCUAGCUUAAUCACUGUUUCCAGCUCAUUUUAUGUAUAUUUCAAUUUAUAGUUCUGUUUCUAUGUUUAGUAACAUUAAUGUAAUAAAUGAAUCAUAGUUUAUCUUCACAUGUAUAAAGGUCUAAAAUAUUAAGUAAAGAAUACAUGGAUAAGAGAGAUUCUCUCAGUUGUGGUUUAAUCUUAAUCUAAAUAGUAUGUCAGAAACAAAAAAGAUGGAUUUAAUUUAACAAUAAAGAUGUCAAGGAUAAGAGGUUCUUUAAAGUGAGAAAUAAGAAUAUAUUCACCAUUAAUAUCAUUUAAAGUGUACCAUGAUGUUAACAUUUAAGGAUAGAUUCAACCUUACUCAUUUUAGAGGCAAAAUUACUUUUAAAGGGACAUUUCCCAAUCAGUAAAGUUUACUAAAGAAUAUAGUUAAGUUAUAUAAUAUACCUUUUCAAUUGGGUACACUGUUUUCUUGCAACCAACACAUUUUUCUUGAGUUCCAGCAAAAAAUCUUGAAACCUUGUUAUAUGCUUGGACCUGUUACAUUAUUAGUUACUAGAGGUAAUUUAGAAAUUAAAAACAUAUCAUGUGUAUUAAGAAUGAGAAAAAACCUGAUCAGUUGAUCUUUCAACUCUAUAAAUUCUUGUUAUACCUACAAGCAAUAGAUAUAAAACAGAUGAAAGGAGAAAACAAAAGAAAUAUUUAUUACAACUUAAAAAAAAAAGUGCUUAUGCUUAAGAAAUAACUAUGUAGUAGGAGCUAUUCACCUUCAAAACUUUUGUACAAACUGCCAGUCAUCUUAAAGAGUUGAUCAAAAUGAGGCUUACAGUAUAGAACACUCUCAAAAGAACAAUAGUUACUCAGCUGCACCAACCAUAAGGAAUUAGCUUUCAGGAUAUUGUUUGACUAAAUUUCAAAAUUUUAGAAGAUUUCAUCAUAGCCAUGCAUGCAUAAAGAGUAAAGAUGUGCAAAGGUUGUAGAGAACAAGAAAAUGCAUGUUCAAAAAAGUUGUUAAACACAUUGUUGAAAACGACAUCUAGAGGUGUGUUGUUAAGCAUUCUUUGCAUGAUGGCAUAUACCUUGAGUGUGCCCUUGCAAUGGUGGCAUCUGAAGCAAGACUUGUGGAACACUUUGUUAUCAGCAGUGAGCUGUUCCACCCAGUAGACUUUCUUUUCACAUGUAUUACAUUUCUGUGCAGUGCCUGCAAAUGAUGCCAUCUCAAAUUCUCACUUGGAGGUUUGAAUAAACCAAUGAGUCUCUUGCUUGCUUUGCAUGAUGGCACAUGGUUGCUUUGGGCCAUCUCGGGUUGGGGGGGGUGAGAGCUAUAUUUUAUACGAUGGUUAAAUUGGCAAUCUUGUGUUCAGCUUAGUGAGUUUCUUACCUUGCCCUUCUCUUUCUCAAACACCUUUAAGCAUUUUCUAUUUCAGCUUUUCAAUGGUGAGAUAAGAAAUCCCAGGAUAACUCGAAUUCUAGUUGGGUUGUGAAAAGCAGAAAACAUUCAGCAUUUACUGUAGUCUUCUAUUUUCAUCUCUCUAAACCGUGUCCUUAGCUUUCUUUUCUUCCUUUCAACUCCAACAAAUAGAUAGAAAGUAUAUCAUCAUUUUCUUAAGUUUGCAAAAUACAUCAUCCAAAAACCAUCAUUUACAUUAGAAAAUUAGUACUAAUUUAUUUCAAUACAAUAACUAUUAUAAUUUCAGUUUAUGAUGAAUUCUAAUCCACCACAUGAUCCUUGGUAGAAGAUGAAAUGGCUACAGAAAGAAGUUCGAGGAAUACAAGGAGGAAGGGACAAAAAUAAGUGACAUCUUAUUUGUUGAUCUAAGUUGAGUCCCACGUCGGUUAAAGUAUAGAUGUGGGUGUGUUGACGAUGUUAUAAAUAAAGAGGAAUUACCGAGUGAAGCUUAUAUUCACUAAUUUCAAAAAAAAUGAAUGAUAUUUAUAGCAUUAUUUUAUAGCAAUAGUUUGGACAACUUUUUGGCGAGUUUUAGUAUGAUUGCCCCUUUUGUUUUAUUUGAUAUUAGUUGUACACCUUGCAUUUUUAUAUUUCAAAUUAUAGUCAUAUUUAUUUAUAAUAUAUUAGUUUUAAUUUUAAUUUAAUGGGGACUAAAAUAUUUUGGAGGGACAAAAACAUGUCAUUUUUUUAGAAGAACUAAAAACAAAAUUUCCUAUAUUUACGGGGACAAAAAAAUUCAGUCCCCAUUAAAUUAAAAUCAAAACUCUAUUUUUUAGAGGGACAAAAACAUGUCACUUUUUUAUAAGAACUAAAAAUAAAAUUCGCUAUAUUUAUAAGGACAAAAAAUUUAUUUAGCCCUAAUUAAUAUUACAAAGUUUUGAGGAAGGGAUUAAUAAAGUUAGACACAAACUAAAUUUAUUUCUUUAUAAAUAAUGUAGUAAAUAUAUAUAUUUACGUCAUAUCUUUUUUCGUCCAAAUUUCAACAUGUCUAUGUUGUCAAAUUUAAAAAUUUAUUGAGAAUGAGCUGAACCAAUUAGAUUUUUAAACGGGGGAUUAAAAAAUAACGUAUUCACAAGUAAAUUAAUUUGAGUCAAAUUAUAAUUGAGUAGGGCUAUAAAUUAGAAUAUAAAAUGCAGGGUGUACAUGUAGUAACAAAUAAAACAAAAUUGUUCUAAGAUGAAGCAAUUUGACAAUUGCCCCAUGUUAAAACUCGUCCAACUUUUUCUCUUUUUCCCUUUUUAGGGAGAGAAGAAUGAGAGUGAGUUGUUCAAAAGUUGUUAAGAAAUAGUUGUAUAAUUUUAAUAAGGUCUUGUUAACGAGUGCCUCCGGAGCAAUUUUUAAAAAUUCUAAAAGAAGAAAUUAUUUUAUUUUUGAAGAAAGAAAAUUAUUUUAUUAAAAAAUCAAAUAUUUUGAUUUUUGGUGCAUUGAUUACACAUAUCUUCAUGAUAAGUUACUAUUUAAAGUCCUUAACUGGUUAACAUUUCCCUUUUAAUAAAUUUUUAUUUAUACAAAAAAUGGUUGUACAAUUCUAAUAAUUUUUUUAUUUAUAUUAUAGAUAGAUUCUUUGAUUUAUAAUAUAGAUUGGAUUGGAUUGGAUUUGUAAGAAUUCUUUGCUUAUUUACUUUCUGUUGAGAAAGUCUUUUUAUGGAAAUAUCUUCAAAUAUCUUCAUGUAAAAAUGUUUCACAAUUAAUAUUGUGUUCAAAAGAGAGUAUAUAGAAAUUUUGUUAAAUGAAUGAUCAAGAAAAUGAUACUACAGUGAAAAGUGUUCUGAUGAGCCAAUUACGUAUAAUCAAUAACUAGGUCUCUAAUAAGUACAUUUGUGACAUGACAAAUUUGUUGUACAUCUUGUUUGAGAUUGAUAAGAGAGAUAAUUAAGUGGUCGUUGGGUUGUCAUAAGGACAAAUUUGGACUUGUGUCUAAUCUAUACAGUCAUGGCGCAACUGAAAAUGUGUAUCAAAUGAUAGUUUUAGAAAUCUUCUAUUUAGUGUAAUAUUAAAUUCAUCUAGCUUAUAAAAAUGAUAGUAUUAGAAAAUUAUGACCAAAGAUGAGAAAGCAAACUGGCUAUUGCAAAGAAAUAAAUAUGCUUUUCGGAAAAUCAUCAACAUUUUCAAAAUACAUGGAAAAUCUGUCAUCAUUUUCUUAAGCUUGCAAACCAAAUCAUCAUAUACAUUAGAACCUUCUACCCGCAUACCCUUGUCAUUUUCUUAAGUUAACAAAAUAUAUCACCAAAUUAUCAUCUACAUUAGAAACUUGUACUAUUCACAUCCCCUCACCAUACAGUUUAGAUGCAUGUAGAUGGACUUUUUCAACAAUAUGAGGCCAAAAAUUCCUUUCAAUAUCCCAAAACAAACAAACACCAGCUAUAAUCACAUGUUAUGCACAUGGAGAUAACAAACAGUUAUGAUAAAAUGUAUCAAUAGCACACAUGUGAAAAUGUGUAAGAGAGUUGAAAAAUUGGAUUAAAUCAACAAAAGUAGUCUAACAUAUUGUCCCUUUCCUAGACUCUUCACAUAGUUUGACAUUGAUAGAAAUCUAUUGAUAUCUACCUUAUGAUGAAUUCUUAUUUACCACAGUAUCCUUACUAGAUGAUGAAAUAAAUGGUUUAGGAAGGGUUACUUGUACCAUGUAUACCUAUAGAAAGAGGUUAGGGGAAUGCACAGAAAAGUAGAUGACUAGUUAUAUGACUAAGUUGAGUCCCACAUCGCUAAAAGUGAAGAUGUGAGAGUGUUAAGGUUGUUAUAAAUAAAGAGGAACUAGCAACAUUAAAACAUACUUACCUGGAUGGGGUCUAUGAGUGAUCAUGAAGGCUCAUGGCCUAGGUUGGUGACCUCCAUUGCACUUUGGAGGGGUGCCUAUCUAAGGUGUUCUCAAGUAGAACAGUCUACAUCAUAAUUUGUUGCUGAGGGGGCCUGCGUUCGCGCGGCCCCUGCCCAAUUUUAGUUGAAUAUUUAUCUUUUCAAACUUUCGUAUUUUUAUUAAAUUUGUUUGGUGAGGCUAGAAAAUUGUUGUCAGAUAUUCGCCAUUUCACAUCUUACGCUAUUUUUUCCAUAUGGGCUGUGGGCUAAACGAGUGUAUUGUAUUUCAAAUAAAAAUCCAUCGUUGAUGAGAAAGCAUUUAUAUUUAUCUAUUUGAUCUCACUCUUUUCUUGAUUUAGAUAAUAUAUGUAAACAUUUAAUGAUGGGGGAAAUUACCAGGUGGAUGAAUAAUGGCAUAUGGUGGCCAGUUAAAAACAAUUUCGAAGCUCAUGAAUCAAAUUUUCAAUGAAUGUUUCUCCAUCAGAAGAUCCAUUUAAAAAUAUUAAUUAGCAAAUAAAAAAUUAAUACAGGUGACCUCAUGGAAAAAAUUAAAACAAACCAAAGAAAAUUCAACUUAGUCGGUUGCAAAUUUCUGCUUGAGAUAAGAGCAGCAAAAAAUAAUAUUGUUAUUAUUAAAUUAUAGGCUCGUAGAUUACUAUGUUCUCUGGCUUUGGCCUCUUGUGAUUCCAACAGUACAUAUGAUAGAUACCGCUCUCUAAAGCUUGGCAAAACCACUAUGAUGUAUUCAAUAGGCUUAUUGAUGAUGUUUGAUCAACUUUUAACCGAGACCAACAUGGAAAACUGAUUUUAUUUCACAAGAUAUGGUUACAAAAAUAUGACCCAGAAUAAAAGUCUCUGAAUCUUGAAAUUAUUCACUACUUACUAUACUACCUCACUAAGCAUCUGCCAACAAUCAGAAAAUCCUCUACUGACUGUAAAAAUUAAGUAUUUACAAACUCAAUUUUAGACAUAAAAAGAGAAGAGCAAAACAGCUCUUUAACUUCUGGCAAGCUACAAAAACCAAUGCAUGGAGGGUGUAUUUACAUAUAUAAGAUAAACCAUAAUUUUUCUUCUAUCAAACAGCACACUAUUAUUUUGUCGGCUGCAUUCACAAACGCAAUGUACAAAACCUUACCUAUAUAAUUGGUUUCUUCGUUUCUUCACCAUGAACCAUUUCAGAACGUUGACUACCUUUCUCCAUCUCCUCUGAGCUUUUCCCUUAGUCAUAGAUGUAGAAGAUACCGGCAUGAAGCUAUCAACAGCACUAUGUAAAUCUGCUUCAAUAUGGCACUGAGAUUGAAGAUCCGCAUCGAAAAAUUGCAGAUGAUCUUCAUCGCCAAAAGCAUGGACUAUUGAAUCCAUGUCACAGAUCAAAGAGUUGGAGACUUGGACGGGAAAACCAAGAUGUUGAUCGUAUCUAAGGCCGAGGCUUUCGAAAUUAGGCAAGCCAUAGUCGUCCAAGCUACUAGUUCCACCAACUGAGUAAAUGGAUGGCAUGAUAUCGGUAGAAGACGCGCUUUCUUGUGUAUAGUUGAAUCCUCCGGUCUUUUGAAGAGCCAAAAGCUUGUUGGCGCUCGAUCCCUCGGUUCUCGGAGAGCUUGGGGAGUAAUGAACAUUAGUUAAAUGUGAAUAACCAUCCAUUAGGGAGACCUCAUCUUCAAAAGAGGCAAAAUCGCAUUGGUUGAGUGCAGAAAUAACCGAGAUUUGAGCAUCAGCCUGAUCGUGGAAAAUCAAAUUUUGUAAGUAUUAGGAACUGUGAAUGAAAAUGAGAAAAGUAAGGAAACUAGCGGGUGAUCAGAGAUAAAUGCCUUUUCGGUUUCGGACAGCUUAUCUACAGCGACAUACUCACUUUCAGCGAGCAGUCCUGUCACUUCUCCCACGGCAUUGAAGACUACGUGAGGUUGUUGAGAAUGAGAAGCGAACGAUACGUGUCGUGUUGUAUCAAGAACACAAGUCCGAGCAUGCUCUACGGUUACUUCCCACAUCUUUGCAGACAUCCCAGUGCCCAGUAUCUACACAUUCCCAAGCAAAGAACUUUGUCAUUUACCAUAGAGAGAAACAAACUAGUAGUACUUAUCUAAACUGUACCAUGAAAGUGUUUAAAAAAAAACUUUUAAAAGACAAAAAUCUAUCAAAAACAAGUUAAGACACUAAGAAAUUGACAUGUUUACCAACUUGUACCUAAACAAAUAAUUAAAUAAUAAUGAAUUAGUUCUUACUGUUCGCAGCUUCGCUGGAUCGAGAUUUAGUAGUGUGAGAAAAUCUUUAACAGUACGUAUCUUUUCACGACUCAAACGCCUGUGGAAAGCUCCAUCUUUGCCUAUCUUUUCCAGUCUCCAAACUUCAUCCGACAGACUUGGAGGGUGGUGUUUCUUGUACACUGCAGCAAAAAAUCAAAUGUUAAACCGAGUUUCCUUUUAUUGUUCGACAAGUGACUUUAAAAGCUCAAAUAUGUUCUGUUGUAAGAUAUUUGCUGUAACUAAGGAAACCAGAUUUUUAGGCUUCUACUUUUACCAAUAACAAGAACGAAAAUACAAAAUGAGAUAAAUAAUUCAUUUACGCCAAGAAGAAAAUCAAUAUUUGUGUUCUACUGUUUUCGUGUGAAUCACAUUUGUGUUCUACUGUUCUUCGUUUAUUAGGGUCUGUGUGGAUUGACCUAUUCUAACAGGGCCUUACUCUCUUAAAGUGAAAUCAUUGUCUAACAUCUACAGUCAAAAUUAGUCUAAAAAGUGAGUUGUGAUAGCAUCUGAAAUAUUAGAUCUUAUUGCAUCUAAGCAGAAAAAAUAUUAGCACAUGCUUUUACACAAAUACUCACAUUCUCCUCUGUGAUCCCUAACAAUAAAUGAAUCUGUCUUUGCUUCUCUUAUUCUAAUACCGUCAAAGUUGUCCACAACUCUUACCCCAAGCCUGAACCUACGACUCCUUGUCCAACUUGAAUUAUCGGUAUAUGAAAUUUCACCCACCAUACAAAGCCCGUCUUUUAGAUAUAAAAUCACAUCUCCUGUAAGGAGGGGCUUUUUUCCAUCCCUCUCUCUCACAAUAUUGUUCUUGAAAUCUUCAGGCAUCCAAAUGUCACUUUCUUCUUCAAAAUCACCCUCAAGAACUACAAUUUCCACCUUAGCUGAAGAUUCAGGUCCUGUACAAACAACCUUCCCUGUUAAGGCGUCAACUAAACGUAUCCUUAAGUUUGAGCCAUCUUCUCCUUCAAUUCGAGCUCCUGUAAAGACAGGGAGAGAUAUGCUGUUUUCAAACUGCAGCUGCAAAGUUCUUGAUUCUGAAGUAUUCAUCUCCUUUCCACAGGUCCUGAAAACAAAGCAAAAAAGAUGCAUGAGAAACGGUUCAAGUAAACAAUUUCAAACCAUUAAGCUAAAGCUUCUUUUUUUCCUAAUCCAUUCCCUUUGCUUCAAAUGCAACUCGACAAAUGAGGCAUGUGAAUUUAAAUUAUCAUUAGAAGAUUAUUUCUUACUGUUUAAUGCUGCUCAAAUGCUUCUUUAGAGCCAAUUCAACUUCCUCUCUAACCUGCAAAGAAGUCACAUAGCAUCAAUUAUAUACCAGUAAAAGUGGAACCAAAAUCCAAACCAGCUCCUCUAAAAAACAUAAUGAAUAUAUGGUAUCAGGCCAAAAGAAAAGCCACCAUAAAGUGGAUACAAUACAACUACACAAGUUAUUUACAGCCCACAAAGCAUGGUUGCAACUCACAAACAACACUUAAAUACUCUAAAUAAAUGAACUCACUUAUUCUAAGAUGCACUUAACCAUUAUAAAAAUCCUAAAAGCAAAUAAUAUUACAUCUUAUAAAACAGAAUAAAGUCAUACACAAAUAAAUAGAAAUGAACAUGAUAUAUAUAAAUGCAAUGAACCAUAAUAUAAGAGAGUUCAUACCACUCUGCGAACCAAGGGCUCUAGAAUUGGCUCCAUCAAAUUCCUAACUGAUUGUAACUUCAUCACUUCGCGCACCACACUAAAACAAAAUGUCAAAAACAUAACAAAUUAGUCCUGUUAAUAAUCAAAUAAACUGUGAAUACAAAAUGGUUCUAAAUUUUAGUGGCGAUCAUGCUGCAAAUCUUAAUGUUGCAGCAAAAUGCAGACAAAUGCAUGCACAAUUGUGGUUAGUGGUUACGAUGUCACUGCAGAGACAUCUAAAGUAUUUGUUUUGUGCCAACAAUUUCAGUUGCAAACCACAAUUUAGAACUAUAACAGUUGAUUAGUACCCAGAAUAAUACACAAAUGGCAUUGCCCUUUUUCCAUAGAACAUGAAAUUACACCUACUUAAAUUUGAAAAAGGGACCAAUUUGACACUUAUUUUCUCAUUUCAUUUCAUCCCUGGUGGACAUUCCACAACGACAGUACAGAUACAUACCCAAAUUUUGAGCCCCAAUUUAAUAAAAAUGCAAUUCACAAUUUCACAUUUGCAAAACCAAAAACACCCCAUUUGAUUUCAGAUCAAAAUUCAUCCUUUUCACCAUUCCCAUUUCCUCAAAACAUAAUCAAACAGAAAGAUCAAAAGUAAAUAAAUGAAGUACAAAAAGAUCAUACACACUCACUGACCUGGAAAAAGGAGGAGGCUUUCUACGUUUAUCAUCUGGAGUCUUGUUAUCAUCGGGACCCCUCUUGAGCGACAUAGUCGAAGUAACAGUAAGAAUGAAGAAAGAGGGUAUUCAAAAUUGAAAGCAAACAACAUGGGGGUGUAGACAGCAAGAAUAAAAGAUAGGAAAGAAACAAAACAUGACACACCAAUAUAUAAUAAUAAAAAGUAUAUUGUGACGCCAAAAAGAGGAAGUAACUGAUAAACGACAAGACCAUCAAAUAAAAACGAAACUACUUUGUAUCUCGUUUGAAUAAGAAGAAAAAGUACAUGUGUGUUGUGUUAUGAAGUUUGUUUGGUGUAGGAUGUUUCUGGGCUAUGAAGAAUUCUCGUUGUGUAGUGAAAGUAGCCACCAUAAUUGUGGUGGAUGAAGAGAAAGAGUGUUUCUUACUUCUUACGCGAAAGAAGAAGAGAGUGAAAUGAAAGCGAGAAGAGAAGAGAAGAGAACAACCUCAGACAAAGGAAGGAAGGGGAGGAAGUUGGUGUGGGACCCAUGAUAAGGCGCGUUUGUGUUAUUGUGUCUGUCUGACUUGGUAAAACUGGGUCCUACUUUUCACCGUUUUAAUUCAACACGCUUCUCGUGGCUGAUUGUGUUCGCCACAUGGUUUCACCGUUUUACUCCUGAAGUGUCUGAUUAAUUAAGUUCAAUGUUUUUUUUUUAUUUUUUUUUAUCUUAUAUCAAAUUCGACAUGAGAGUUUUAAAAAUUAUUGACAGAAGUAUUGUUUAUAGAUAAUUAUUUUUCGCUAUUAUUAUCUAUAGUUGAUUUAAGAGAGACAACACAACCUUCUUAAAAUUUAAAGCAAAAUCGACAUUAUCGAAUUGAACGUUUGCUGCCCAUCCCAGAGCCGUGUGUAGUCCAAUUGCUUCCUAAACAUCAACAUCACAAAGAAGAGAAAACCAUGCGGUUUUGGCAAGGACAAAGUUUCUAUGUUGCAUCUAUGUUGCAUUUGUGGUUUUUUCCAACAGAUUCUUGACAGCUUGAAUGCUCAACUUGCCUUGAAUUCGGUUGGUCAUGAUGAGUUCAUCUUUGCUCCAUUUUGAUUUCCUCCAUUUACUCCUUUUCAAUGUGCAGAUGUGUGACAUGUGUCAAAAAUAAAUCCUAUGGUUAAUAUUAAGUAUCAAAUUAAAAGACACCACAUGGGUUUUUGUAUGUUGAAGCUUUCAUCUUGUUCCUUUCCUCUUCUCCACAACCUCACAGUACCGUCCUCCAAAUUCCCGUGUGCAGAAUCGAUUCAAUAAACUUUUUAAUUUUCAAUUUAUGAUUGAUAGUAAUAUUGAUAGUAAAUUGAAUCCAUAUUCAAGCUUAGGCGUUUUUUGUUUAUGUUUUUUGUGUUGUCUCAUAAAUCUAUCAAAAAGAAACAAACCUGUAAAGAAUUUUUGAAAGACGGUGUUUUAAGAAUCAAAAUCCAAAUCUUGUUGCGAUUCCAAAACAUUAUAAAGGAGAUUAACAGGAUUGUCAAUUUAAAAUUCAUUCAAUCCCUUUGUUGCAAUUUCAAUUUUAAUUAAUUAAUUUCUUCUUCAGUUUUAGAAAGAUUUCAUGUUUCAAUUAAGUAAUCUCAUCAAAAUCAUUUUAUGUGGUUAUAGAUUUUGCAAUGAAAUUGGGAAAUUGAAAGGGGAAUGAAGGAGGUGGAGGAGAAAGGGAUCAAGUGACAUAGAGUGAAAAAAGCAUGGGAUGAUGUCUUUUAAUCUCAGCUUUUAGAUUUGUUUUUACCACAUCUGUAAAUUAAAAAAGAGUAAAUUGAACAAUCAUAAAUAGAGUAAAGAUGGACUCAAAAAGAGUGAUCCGCCACACAGAGUCAUUCUAUUUGUAAAAUACAACUUAAAUAAUAAUAAUAAUAAUAAUACAACUUACUUGUUUCUGAAUUUAUAUGACUAAAAAAACUGUUUGAUAAUGUUCAUUUUCUCACGAGCUUAUAUUUUGUUUUGACUUCGUAACGUUUUUUAUAUGUUAAUUUAAGUUGUUUGUACUCUAUCAUUUUUUUGUCUCACGGCUACUUUUCUUAUCUUAAUUGGAAAAAAUAAAAUGAUAAAAUAUUUAUAACCAUUAAUUUCCUUCUCAAAAUUUUAUUUGUUGCAGUUGUUGCACUUUCCGAGAUGCUUCACUUCUUUUCUACUAAUUCACCGUCAAAGUGAAAGAAACCACACACACACACACACACAUAUAUAUAUAUAUAUAUAUAUAUAUAUAUAUAUAUAUAUAUAUAUAUAUAUAUGGGUACCCUGAUAUGGUCCCGUUUAAAAAGUUGAGUGUGAACCAAACCUGUUAUAGCCGAUUAUAACUUUUUAAUUUCAUUGAGAGGAACUUGUGCGCAGUUAUGCUAUAGCUGACAUAACCGAAAUGUUUAUUUUUUUUUUUUGAAGGACAUACGAAAUGUUGUUCUUCACCAUCAAAUGGUAAGAUUACUCGACGCUGGAGACCAUGAUGGGGUUCUGUCUACAGGCAUUGGACGACAAAAAUAGGUGGUGAUGGGGAGAGGAAGAUGAAUCAGAGGAAACUAGAAACGGAAGCAAAGAUUGACAAAUUUGAAGAAAGUGAGAAUUCUAUAUAAUAUGAUUAUAAUUGAGGAGUGUGUUUUUAAUUAUAUUUGCGGUACUGGGAUGAAGAAUUUGUUAUUAAAGAAGGAAUAAAUAUAAAAUACGUUUAUUGAUAGCUUAACUGGUUACCAAGUAAAAUCUGGGUCAUAACAAGUAAAAGUUUUUUGGAUAAUUUCAUUAAUUUUUUAAAAAAAUAUAUUCUAUCAGGCUGUUGAUUCAAUAUAUAAUCAUGAUCAGUAUAAAGUUAUAAUUAAAAAAUAAGAAAAGAAAAAUUUCCUUAAUGUGCCAACCGGUCAAAGCAUAUGUUUUUCAAAGGUCCAACCAUGAACCUUAUUCUAAAGGGUGAGAAUUAGGGGCACCCAAUAAUUAGAUAAUUAAUUAAAAUAAUAAACAAAAAUGCUUAAAAAAUAUAAGCAUUUCACUUAUUCUAUUAAGUUUUUUUUGAAUAAUUAUUCUAUUAAGUUUAAAAUUAUCAAGAGUGCAUGUUUAGAAUAAAAAUAAUGAGCCCAAACAAAAUUAUUUCGUUAUAAAUCUAUAAAAUUGAUUACAAUAAAUAAUUUAAUCAAAUUGUCAUCUAAAAUUUUCUCUAUCAAUUUAAUAUUUAAAAAAUAAAUGAAAUAUAUAUAUUGAAUUUGUCAAAAUAUAUGCUAAAUGAAAUAUAAUUUAAAAUGAAAUUUAAUGAAUGAGAAAACCGAGGAAGGAAUAAAUAGUAUGAAAUCAUGACAAAACUUAUGUGAAUUUCUUUAAUUGUUUUUCAUGUGAUUCUUAGCAAAAAAAAAAAACCAUUUUCAUGAGUAGUUUAUUUAUGGACCAUACAAAAAGCACCUAAAAAAUGAGUAAAUAGGCAAUUACCCCUUUAAAAUUGUAAGUUUCAUCAGUUACAUCCUUAAAAUUAACAAAACGUCAAUUACCCCCCGAAAUUGCACAACAUUAAUCAAUUUACCCCUUCCGUGAAAUUUUUCUGUUAGUCAACAUGACGUUUGACAAAUACCCCCUGAAGUUUUGUACUUAUGUGCAAAAUGCUUCCGAACUUGAAAAUUUGUAUUUUUUUUUUCUUCUUAUUCUUAACUCAAAAGAUAUUAAAGACAAACAAUUACAGUUAACUUUAAUAUUUACAUGGCUCUUUCAUUCUUAAAGGGAUCUGUUAUUUUAUUUUGUUUCUGUUAUGCCAUUUGGUUGUUCAAUUCUCCAUAACUUAUGACUUAUUUAAAUAGAGACACGCCAAUUCACAACAAAGUAAGCUAGAGACACUCAUUCCUUAUGAAUAAUUAAUUCUAGCAGUUUCUUAAGAUAAGUUUGAAUAAAAUUCUUCUAUCUUAAAAAUUGAACUAAACAUGCAUUUUGUUAAAGUAAUAUGAAGUUAUUAACUCUGCAUUAUUUUUAUGGAUCAAGGACCUGAGACAGACGACCAAGGACUGCAAGCUUAAGAUGAUGAACUCUUAUCUCAAAUACGGGCCAAAAGGAACAUAGUAAAAUCAUCCAAAUAUCUCAAGGAUUAUGUGGUACCAAAGAAGAAAGCCAACUUAGAUCUAGAAGGUACCUCUGCUAGCCGAGUCAUCAUCAAUGGGAAUUACUAAGAAAUGUAUGUGUUAGAGACAGAAUGUAUUAUCCAAAUUCUUUAGAGGAUAUAUUAUUUAUUGUAACCUUAAAUAUUAAAGUUAACCGUUAAUUGUGUGUCUUUAAUAUCUUUUGAGUUAAGGAUAAGAAAAAAUAUAUAUAAAUUUUUAAGUUUGGGGGACAUUUUUAUAAUUAUUCUCAAUAAAAAUAAUUAACAAAAUAAAAAUAAAACAUAAUAAUAUGAUAGAAAGUUUUUAUUUUAUUUUUAUAAAGGAUUCAAAGACCAAUACCAAAGUGCAGGGUCAAUAUAAAAAAGUAUUGAAAGUGCACGGAUUAAUGAUAUUUUUAAGUUUAAAAAUAAUGAAUAAAAUAAUAUUAAAAAAAGUGCAGAGACCAAUGCCAAAAUAUGGUGAAAGUGCAGGGACUAAUGACAUAUUUAAACCUUUAUUUAUUUUUUGCAAUGUUAAUGAUUAAAUUAGUUAGAAAUUGAAUUGUUAAUGUUGAUUAUAGUGAGUUUGAGUGGAAUUUGGUAGUUUAGAUAUUGAAAUGGCACAAUGUGGUAGUUUGGGUACAAUGUGAAUUGUUGUUGUUGAUUAGUUAGAAAUGACACAAUGUCCUUAUGAAAAUCAUUGAGUUUUUGCUUUUAAAAAUGUUGUGUAGAUAUGUCUGAAAGACUGGACAAGCUGAGAGCAGGCAGGAAGAUUAUGACACAGAGUGCAGAGGCCCAAAAAGGAGGGUGAGGCCCAGCAGGAAAAGGAGGUGAAAUUGGAUAUGAUGUUACUCAAUUGAAAAAGAAAGCAAAAUCCACCAUGACAUGGCACGUCAUCAAAUGCGAAGGAUCUAAAAAAAAUCAAUGCCAAGGUGCCAAUAUACAAUUUCAACAAGCUGAGAAGGAGUGGAAAGAACUGUUAUUUUGGUCCACAGCCAAAACUAGGUGCCCUAGGAAGUGCAGAGGACAAUCCUAUUGAAAUUGAAAUUGACGAGGGAGAAGAAUAAAAGAUAUUUUUGUAAUGGCUUAUAAAAAUGUCUUUGUUUUUAGAUGUUUUAGGAUAUGAUGUUUUUAGUCUUUGCGCAUUUUUAUGUCAUUUUAGUACAUUUUUGGUUUUAUUUUUGCGUAUUAUAACUUUAAAUGAAUUUGUGUAUUAUAACUUUAAAUGAUUGAAUGAAUGAAUUUGCGUAUUUUGAAUGAUUGAUGAAAACAUGGAUGAAAAUGAAUAAAUAGAUGUAUGUAUGAAUGCAUGAAUGAAGCAAUUCUGCCUAUUCUGCUUGGUGACACAAACAGAACGUGGCUUAAGUCAUAUUGGAAUAUAACCUAUGUGAAUUAAGUGACGUUGAGGAAUAACCAACGCGAUUUAAGUCACGUUCGAUACAUCCAACGCGAGUUAAGUUACGUAGCGUACAUUUAAAGGCCUGACAAUACCUCAUUUCUUCAUUUUUCUUCGUUUCACAUCUAAAAUCUCUAAAAACUCUCUCAAAUCAUCCAAAUCUUCAAUUUUUUCUUUCAAAUCAAACAACACUCCAAUAACAAGUAAGUUUUCACAAUCAAGUACCAUUGAUAUUUUAUGUUUAUAUGUUACAUUUUUCCUCUUAAAUUAGAAUUUUUAUAGUUUCAUGGUUUGUUUAAAUUUUGAUUUUUUUUAAAGAAUUGAUACAAUGUUUACAUGUAAAUGACUUAUGUUGCUUAAAUGUUUAGAUGUUUGCAUGCUUAUUUUGUAGAUUUUAGUUUUUGGGUUUAUGUAUAAUUUGUACUCCAAGUGUUUGAUGAAAUGUUUGAAUGAGUUUUUCAUUGAUUGUUUUUAAUUUCUUAUGGUGUAGAUCCGGGACUUUCUUCCCACAGGUUAUUCUAUACAAUUUAUGAAAGAGAGGAGAAGCCCCACUCGGGGAGAUGAGUCAAAGCUUUCUCUUAUAUACGAUACCUACCAAAGAGAAGAGAUCGCAUUCUAACAGGGAGCACCCGAAACAAUGAAUAAUUUGUUCAACGCUCAAGUAUGCUUCAAUGGUGGAAACUCUAAUUUGUUCAAGGUUCGGUACGAUGUCACGUUAAAAGAAUUGAAGGAUCAACUUGAUGAAAUCAACCAACGACUCAACCACAGAGACAAAAAGAGGGUAGAAUAUGUUUGAUAUAAGCAUCCAUCAUUCGACUCAGUGGGGAGAUUGACGUUCAGUCAGCCAGAGUUAACAAACUACGACGAUGUGAGGAGCAUGUUAUCGACAUUUGGUCAGCACAACAUGUUUCCGAGGAUCGAGAUGGAUGCUACAUUGCUGAGAUCACCUGAAGAUAUUCUCAAGAAUUUGAUUCGGUCAGAGGAAGAUGUUUAGGUAUUAUUAUUAUUAUUAUGUCAUUGUUUUUUUUGGAUUUUAGUUUAAUUCUUGUUAGUUUGUUGAAGAUGUUGGCAUUGAAUUGUCUUAUACUUAGUUCAAAAGUUUGCAAGUCUAUUUCAAAACUUACAAGAAUGAAGAGAAAACAAUAUGUAUUAUGCCGAAUCAACUAUAUAAGUUCUCACAUCGAAUUCCUUCGUAUAAGAUGAGUGUCACAAAAGGAAAUGCAUUUAUAAGAUGUUGUUUUGUGUUUGAUCAUGCUCCUCUAUCAAUUGAAACUUGUCAGUUGGCAAGGUAGUAAGAUUAAGUUCAAUAGAAUAUAUUGAGAUGUACUCCUUUAUGUGACUACUCAUCCUAUAUAAAGGGAUUCGAUGCGAUAACCUAUAUAGUUGAUUCGGUAUAAUACAUGUGUUGUGUUCUCUUCAUUCUUUUGAGUUUUGAAAGAGACUUGCAAAUUUUUUACACUAAGUAUAAGACACUUCAAUGUCGACAUAUUCCGCAAACUUUCAAGAAUUUAAUUUAAAUCCAACAUCAUGAUGAUACCACAUAUUUCGGGAGAAUGUAAUGUAACGUAACACUUCGUUUAUUUUAACGGAGAUGAAAUUAAAAUUAAAUAAAUUUGUUGUAUUCUAUUAAUUUUGAAAUUUAUUACGCGUACUUGUGUAUUUUUAGUUAUGAUUUAUUUUGGAUCAUGAAUGAAUUGUUGUUAUUGUUGUUUCUAAGACAUAACAUGUAACACCCGUUUUCCAAAAGUAAAAAUUUCAUUUAUUUAAUCAGAGUAUUCACAUAAACGGAAUGUCACGUUCUUUUUUUAAAAUCAUAAACUGAAUAAAUAACUAUUUAUCCUUUAAAAUUCAAUAACAAAAUCUUUAAUACUUCGCAGUGAAAUUUAUUCAAUAACUAAAACAGUCUUUGACACGAAGGCCUCUUCAUAAAUAUCUCAUAAAAAUCCAAUCGAAAAUCAUAGUCAUAAAUCUUCAAAAACAAUACGUAAGGAAUAGAAAAGCAAUAACAAAGUUCCAAUCCCGUUACGUAUCAGAGCACCUAAGACACACGAGAGAGAAACCUCACACGACAUCAACUAUUCUCGAUCACCUGCAAGUUACUCAUACGAAGAGCAACAUUUCCAAGCAGAAGGGAUGAGAUUUCACAAAACAAUAAUAUUAAGCAUAUAAUUCAACAAUUAUAUUUAACAACCUAAAAUCAUCAUAAUAUUCAUCAUAGACAUUAAUAUAUCAUAUAUCACAUCUUUAAUAGUUCAUAUAAAGAAUCACAGCUUCAACAACUUGGUAACUUAAACAUCUUUGACUCGACAAAUGCGACUCCAACUUGACUAUGCAACCUAGACCUCUUAUAUGCAUGUGGUACCAAUCCAGGGCAUCAAGCCCCCAACGUAUUUGAGCGUAAAUAGGCUCUCAGGGCAUCAAGCCCUCAACUUUAUUAUGCUAAUGCAUGGACUCGACCUCUUAGACAUCUUAAAUCGACAAACUCUUGUAUAAUCCAAUAAUUUGGAACUUCAUCAUCUUAAUCAACUUAGACCGACUCAUGCAGCUUAGUUAAAUAACAACAAUAACACAGUAGUAUACAAAAACAGCAUGACAUAAUAAUAUCAAAUGCAAGUAAACAACGUCUCAAUUAUUCACAUAUAAUUCAAGUAAUGCAUAUACAAUUAUAUCACAAUAUAACAUCAUCAAAUCAUCAUAAAUCAGCUUCACAGAUCAUCAUUAAUAUUAUAUAUAAUAUUCAUAACUAUCCCAAGGUUCAACUCUCAACGACUCGUGCUACAAAGAUCGCAAAAUCCUAAACAAGUAUUCUGUAAAUAGGUCACUCGCGAGGCGAGAGCCUCUGCUCGCCAUGGCGAGUUCAGGUCAGAUUCUCAAAGUUUUAUUCUAAAAUCUAUCCAGGUUCAAUCUCAUCCUACAUUCUUCAUAAUCAUUAUUAAACAUGCUCAGGCACUCAAAAGCAUCUAAGGAUCAACUCAAAAGUCAAAAUCACGAAAUUUGGAUAGCUCUCUGGUCAUGCUCGCUAUGGCGAGUUCAUCUGCUCGCUACGGCGAGCUGCGACGUGCAACUCGCGAGGCGGGUAAGGUUGCUCGCGUGGCGAGCGAUGAAGUUCAUCAUUCGUCGUGGCGAGGAUCAUAGCUCGGGAGGCGAGCGAUGAAUGUCGCUACGGGCAGAAGUGCAGUUUUGCAUAAAAAUGACUAACUCUCAUGGUUUUAAGCCUAAUCUUGAUUCCAGAAUUCAUCAUAAUCAUUAUCUAAGGUCUAGGGACAAUCUCUACAUCAUUCUAACAACUUUUCACCGUUUAAUCAUCAAUUCCAUCAAUUUUAACCUACUUUUCAAUUUCUCUAAAACUCAUUCUACUUCAUGUUAAACCUAACCAUUGAUUCACAUACUUAACAGAAUUGCAAAGUUAGUCUCACCCUUACCUUAACAAUGAAAAUCGCAGCUCUCUAGGUGUUUCUCCCUUCUCUUGGCUUUUUCUCCUUUUUUUCCAAAAUUGAUCGUACGUUAUGUUUUUUCUAAACUAGGUCUCUCCUAUUUAUAAAAAUCCUUAACCUACUUAUUUUUCUCUUAUAUCCAAAUCUCCCCAAAAUCUCAAUAUUCUAUUCUAAUAUAUAUAUAUAUAUAUAUAUUUCUAUAACGAAUAACAAAUAUAUCUCUACACUAAAUAAAAUAUAUUUCUAUAACAAAUUAUAUAUAUUUCUCUAAUAAAUAUCAACAUAUAACUUAACAAAAUAUCACUCAUCUAAUUUCCAAAACAGCCCCCACAACUUUAAUCUUAUUUUAUUUUCAAAUCCUAUUCCAUUAAAUAAUAAAAUAAGUCACUUAAUAAAUCACAUAAUCAUAUAAAUAUAUUAUAAACUUAUUAAAACAAUCAAAUAAUUCAAAGAGGACGUUACAUAACAUGCUUUUAAAAAAUGAACAUAACAUAUUGUAUAUUGUAGGGUCUUUAAAAAAUAGCAUCUUUGUGAAGAAUUGAUGGAAAAUAAAUACCAAAACUCUUCUUCAACAUGACUUAAAUCAUGUUGGCCUAGUACCUACGUGACUUAACUCACGUUGGAUCAAUGUGACUCAAACGUGACUUAAGUCAUUUGGGGGUAUUUUGAUCAGAUCACUUGGGAAUGAGCAAAAAUGUAAGGGAGAAGAGCAAUUUUCAUUAUUCAAUAUUAACAAGUAUGAAGUAUGCUAUCUCCCUUAAAAAAAAGUAUGGUAUCCGUGUUCGCGGUGUGGUUCGGUUGUAGUUUUCAUUGAUUGUUCAAACCGUGUAUGUAUCGUUACGCCUAUCCUUUCGUAUUUUAUAUUUUUUCUUUCAAAGAGAACAAUACAUAUGUUAGUCACAACUAAUCAAAGUCAAAAACACUUUUUAUAUGUUUUUUUCCUUCAAUUUCCACAUUUAUGCAAUGUUGCAAAUGUGGACAAACCAAAAGGAGGGAGUGAGGAAGGAUGAGAGACCUCAUUUUUUAACAUCCUCUCAAUUUAUCUUUUUCGAUUGGAGUAAAUAUGCUUUUUCAUUCUUUAAUCUAUCCGCAUCGAUCAAUUUCAUCCUCAAAUUGUUCGAAUAGUAUGAGUAAGGAUUAAUUUAGUUUGAUAUAAAUUAAAGGGGGGACGAACUUGUGAUGAUAAAAUGAGACAAUACCAGUCGACAAAUAAAUCAAUAUCUAAGAAAUUGGUACAAAGUUGAAGAUGCAGAAGCAAGAAUAUAGGGCUGAUGUAAAAUAACAAAAAUAGCGGUAAAAAGAAAGCUUGUUUUAUCCUAUAUAUUCCAAAUUGGAGGAAAAAGAACAAUGGAAUGAGAUGAAAUGGAUUUCAUCAUAUAUCACUCUAUUCCACUAAUUUUUCAAAAAUUUGAACAACGGAACCACAUUCCAUACCACUCCAUUCCAUCAUAUAUAUUUCAUCAAUACAAACAAAGUCUUAAGAGAGUUCCAAUGAUCAUAAUUCAAAUCUCAGUGAAUAAAAAAUAUACUAACAUGUCAAUAAAUAUUCUAAAGAAUUGUAUAAAAAUAAUAGUGAUAAUAGAAAUAAGGAAAAAGCAAUCCAAAUUUGUGUAUGGGCUGGACCAGUUAUGUUAUCUCAGUUUUACAAGAAUAAGAAUAAUUAAAGAUGGAUGAACCCGAACUGUAAAGGGAAUAUAAUGCACUGUUCUUUAUAUAUUAAACGAUCUUAAACACACAGUUUUAUACAUAUAAUUCAUAGUUAGCUACCACAACAUACAAAAACAGAAAACACACCCAUUUACUAUAAAGGUUUAACAUACUACUAAUACAACAACAGAAAUACUUUCCUUUUAUUUAUUUUUUUCAUUCAAACUAACACACCCAUUUACUAAACUACACUAGUAGAUACUAAAUGGGAAAUGAAGAGAGCCCAAACUAAUUAGGCCCAUGGGCUUUGAUAAGAUCUCUAAGGGCACUUGGUCUUGUUGCCAUGAGUGGUCAUAUCAGUGUAACAAGCUCCACAAAACUCCCUAUUACCAGCAGUACCUGGUGGGACGCACUUGCACCUCACACAGCAAGUCCCACAUGCCCUCUUGCACAAAUUUGGCCUUGAAUGCACACUGCACCUUGACCUGCACAGCCCUCCACAGUCUGCGCAAAAUUGAUUAUGAGAAAUUAAGUUUAGUCUUUAAAAAUCUUAAUAUGUUAGUUAGAUACUUUUAGUUUUAUCUUUUUGGCUUACCUAUGUCUUGCAUUAGCCUUCUGUUUCCGUCUCGCACAAUAAGCUGAAGAUAAGCAUUUUAACAUAUAUUAGGUUCUAUUUAAGUAUUAAAAAGGUCAAGUACUUUAGUAUAUAUAUCAUUCGAGAAAGAAAGAAAAGAGAGCAUAUAAUAUACCGGCUUAUCAGUUAAAUGCAUUUCUUCAUCUUCUUCCUUUUCUAUCUCAUGAUCAGAUGAAACCUGCAUGAGAUUGACAAAACACCAAAAAAAUUAAUUAAAAUCAAGAAAAUAUUGUUACAAAAUAUCAGGUUUAGUUUAGUACCUUAGAGAGGCACACUAAAAGCAACAACCCGAAGACAAGAAGCUUGUGUAAUGCCAUUACAGAGAAGAAUUUUAAAAUCUAGCUAGACUGCACCUUAAGUUAAUGAGUAGAGUAUAGUUUAUUGAUAUUCUACAUGCUACUAUUUAUAGGUGAAAAUGGUCCCACAACUCAAUUUGCAACCAGCUGAAAUUACCUACAUAACCCAACAUUUGGCACAUUAUCGUUUAUUUAUUUUUUCCCUUCUUAUUACAAAAUAGAUUUAACAAGGAUUUUUUUGAGGAAGAUUUAACAAGGAUUGUGACUUGAUUGAUUGGUAUAGAUUUAACAAAAAUAAGAGUAAAUAACAUUUUUAAUGUUCUCAUUCACUUCUCUUUAUUAAUUUCUUAAGUAUUAACAUAUAGCAGAUCAUCUAUCGAAUAUGGAAAUUUAGUACUUAUCUUGCAUUUCACCUAGAACAUUAGUUACUACAUAGUGGUAUUUGUUUUAAUUAAAUAUCAAAUGUAAAAACUCAUGACUGCUUAGAGUCAAAAGGAUCGUCGAGAGUCCUAAAUUAUAAGAGAGUGAAACUACAUUCCCCAUCCAAUUUAAGAUCACAAGAGAGGGAAACAAUAAAUAUUCACUCAAAAUAUUAUAACAUUUGAUAUAUGGUAUUUAUCCAAUAUUUUGCUUAUUCAUAAACGAUAUGAGAUUAACCAGUCACAUUUAACCCAACAAUCUCUCUUAAAUGUGAGUUUCACGUCAUAUAUUUAAUUCAAACCCCAAGAUCCCCCUCUCACUCUCUACCAAACUGAAUCAUGAUUUUGAUACUAUUUGUUUAGGAGUUCGAUGGAACGUCGUUACCUACAAUGAUCCAUCCUCUAAAACUCACGAGUGCUUAGGAGUCAAAGGGAUCAUUGAGAGUCCAAAAGUAUAAGAGAGUGAAACCACAUUCCCAUCCAAUUUAAGAUCACAAGAGAGGGAAACUACACAUAUUAGAUCAGACAUAUAUACUCAUUUAUAGACGAUAUGAGAUUAACCAUUCACAUUUGAAUCCAAAAUGAGUUAUCUUACAUUUCAACUACAAUAGUUGUUCAAUUUUUGUUGAAAAGGACAAGACUGUGGUCCAAUGUCUAAUUUACUUUCUUGUCUUGUUUCUUUUUUCUUUAUGGAUUGGAUGGAUGGGAUCAAUAUCAAACCAGUCCAACUUGGCUGCAUACAUCCAAAUCCAAAUGAAAAGAAAAAAAUAAGGCAAAGUUGUUGGAAUAAGAGCAUUGAUCAAAGUUGUAGACAGCUGGUUGAAGGCUGUAAAAACACUGUAAUAAUCUACUCUGCUCCCUCCAUCCUUAUCUCAUUACUCGACGUGUACUGCAAACAAAACAGACCUCACUCCACUAAGAUCAAUGUCAGCACUUCAAGAGAGUGGAGAAAAGAAAGAAUCACAAUGAUUCUAUUAGGGUAAAGUACCUUCCGUACUAGGUCCUGCACCGAAACGUGCAUCAAAAGCAAAGCAAAAUUUCCUUUAACCUCCUUACUAUUUUAACAGUCUGUACAAAUAUUUCGAAAGAUUAUUUUCUUACUAUUUUUAGCACAAGAUAUUUUUCUCAUAGUUGUUCUCAACACAUUUAGCUGAUUGACAACAAAAAUUAUAAAUGAUUCUAUAGUUUGGUUUAAAAUUGAUUGAAGUAUCAUAUCCUUAAAGAAAACAGAACUUAAUAAAAACUCAACUUUCACAAAAAUAAACCGGGAUACAUUAGUCCGUUAAUCAAAAUCAAUUCACAAAUUGUCGAUCAUAAUUUGUUUUGUCUAUUAUAGUCUGUUGACAUAAAAGAAGCACAAAAUGCAUCAAAUUAUUGGAACUUAUACUAUUUGAUUUGAUUUGAAGUGUGUAUUUUACUUGAUGAAAGCUAUCAUUUGAUCACUUGUUGAAUGUUUCAUUUAGUCUUAAUAAUGCAUCUUAGUCAAAAGGAACAUUAUUUACAACUAGAAGGAAUACAUGUAAGAAACUUCAUUGUCUUGAAUACCAUAUAAGUAUGAUUUUCUCCUUCAUCAAUUUACCUUUCAUUUGUAUUAAUUUAUUUUGAAAAAGGGGUUUAUGAAAAGGAAAGGUUUGUAAAAGUGUGUUUCAUUUGUCAAAACAACGAACGUGUCUCAAUUUAUCUUACGAACUUAGGAUUAACAUGAAGACUAUUACUUUUUUCACCAUCUUGCCUUCUCGCGUGCCCUACAAAAAUUCCAAAAUUAUCUCUGGUCUGGAUUUUGUAUUCCGGACCAGAUUGUUAGUGUUUUCGGAAAUGAUAAUCCGGACAAAUACGAUAUGAAUAUUUUGUAUCUUUCUUUGAUGUUAAGGGUCGUUGUUGACCGUUAUACGACCCCCGACCAUGACACCACUAACACUCCUAAAAUCUACCUAAAAAACUAAAAAAAAUUGAAGAAAAUGUAAGAAAGGAUGGUGAAGAAUAAUGAAGGAAAAUGUUGAAGAUCCAAGCCUUUUUAUAGCCUAAAACAAGUCAUAUUUGGAAGUCAAGGAAAACGUGUUUUUCAUUCAAAACCGUCCAAAAAAACGUAUAAAAACUCCACUAACCGGCCUAACCUUUGGUGAAACGUCACCGCCCAAAAUGUUAUUGAGGGUUUCCGGAUUUUAUAAUCCGGAAUGCAUGAAGGUGGUCCGGAUUAUAAAGUCUGAACCGCAUCAAACCCUUUUUUGGAUCGUUUUCGUUGCGAAUGCCUUGGAAAAAAACAGAACAAAGGUACAUAACAUAAAUAGAAUCAACAUAAGACAAAUAAACAGUUGAAAAAAACCAUAAUAACAUAAAUGUUGAAUCUUUCGUAAAGGUGUUUUCAAGGGGAUUUCUUUGAGUUCGAUCAUGCUGCCUUGCCAAAUGACAUAUUCAUCUGGCAGACAGAAGGAUCGAACUCAUAGAAACCUCUUGAUAUUUUAGAGUUAUCUAUGUAUCAAGGAGGCAUCAAGGAGUAUCUGUAUAUUUUUGAUAGCAUGUUGAGGAUCUUCAUCAUGCUGUUAUAUAGAGAUCUAUAUAUUUAAAAUAGCAUGAGAAAGAUCAUCAGCAGUAUGACAAAAAUUUGCAUGAUCUCUUUGGUGUGCUUGUUUGUAUUUUUGACAGCAUGCAGAAGAACCGGAGAUGAUGUAUUUAUAGAGGUCCUUGGAUGUUGUGGACCACAUAAACUCUUGGUGCAAUGUGGUCCAUACAAAAGAAUCAUAUGCUAAGGUAUUCCUGAUUUCGUUUUCCGGAACCCACAUACGCCCUAGGCAAAUUCGGAUUUCAUAAUCCGAAAAGCAUAUCUUUGGUUAUUUUAUCGAAUAAAUGAACAUAUUUGACGUAAAUUAAAACAUAAUGAAAGUUUAAAUAACAUAUAUAUUAUUCAAAACAUAAUGCAAGAACUUAAUUCAAUAACACAUAACUAAUACGCAAUUAAAACAACAUAAAACACACGAUUAAUUAAAACAAAGCACAUUAUCACGGAUCAUCUAAACUAACUUCUUCCUCCUCUGGUCCCUCCAGCAGAGCCCGGAUCUCUUCGUAGUUCCUGGUCAGGUGCAAACUUUUCAGAAUUUGUUCAGCAGAUCUAACCAACGAAGCGUCCAACUCGAUCGGUCCUCUAGUACUGUGCUGACCAAAGACAGAGAACAUGGUUCGCACGUCGUCGUCGUUCUUGAGACCAUGAUGGUCAUCAUGAGCCAUCGGUAUUGCUUAUGUAAUAAGUUAAGAUUAGAAAUAGAUUUAGGAUCUUAUGUAAUAAGCUUAAAAAACUUGAAAAUUAUUGUUCAUAUAUUAAUAAAAUGAGUUGUUUUUAUGUUUGUGUCUUUUUAUUUCUAUUUUUUAUUUUAUUUGUAUUUUAUUUUACGAAUUUUGAAGAUUAAAAUUGUAAAACUUCUGGUAAAACAUUAUUCCAGAUUUUAAAAUCCGGAAACAUCUGCAAAAUUCUAACAAUGCAAUCCGAAAAAAGAAAUCUGGACUAGGGGUAAAAUUGAAAAGAAAAAAAAAAUAGGGUGCGCGAGGAAAGACAUAGAGUAAAAAAAUUAAUAGUCUAACAUAAAUUCAAUGUUUUCUGUAAGGGGUCAAAUAUUCUUGGAGAAACAAUAGUAUAACCUUUGUCCAUCAAUGGUUCUCAUUAGGCCACCACACUCAACUAGCUCUCACUCUUUUUUUUUUUGCAUCAUCAUUAUUAUUAAGGGUAUGUUUGGUUGUGUGAGAAGAAAUUGAGAAGAGAGAAAUAGGUGAGAGAGAAAGAGGGAAAGAUGUGAGAAAUAGAGUAGAUUUGAUGUGUUGUUUGAUAUAAGAUAAAGAAGAGAGAGAUAGAAGAGAAAGAAGUAUUGAUUAUUUUUGAAAGUACAAAAAUACCCUUGAAUAAAAAACAUAUUCUAGCAAAAUUAAAUUAAUUAAUUCUUUUUUUAAAGGAAAAUCAAUGAAUUUUAUUAUAUACUUUAAUUUUAUUAAUUAGAUAAACUAAUUAAUUAUUAAUUUUGACAUUAUAAUUAUAAUUAUAGUAUAAUAAACUCAAUUAUAAUUUACUAUUUCAUUGAACUAAGUUUGUAAUAUUUCCACGUCAACUCAUUCAAAACUAACAUACUAAAAGAUAUAAAUAAGCUUCAGUUCUUUAAAAAAAAAUUAGUUUCAGCACUCACUCGAUCACAAUAAUAUUAUACAUGGGAUAUUGCUUUCUCAACGUGAUGGCACUGUGAGAUAAGGGCCAAAUAGGAAAAAUAGAAAUGUUGAUGCUUUCUCUCUUCUUUCUUCGCAAAUCUGAGGAGAACCACAAAAGUGUGGGCCCCACCAAAAUUUUGUCUGUCUCGCCUGUUUCUCUGCUCCUCCAAACCAAAGAAAUUGCCUCUUUCUCUCAUACUUCUCUCUUCAGUUUCUCUCUCGUCCCUAUUUCUUGCUAACCAAACAGACUGUAAGUCUCAUCCAAUCGGACAAAGGAGAGUGGAGACUACCAUCUAACAUUAAACCACUUUUACGUUUCAUACUUAUAAGUAAAAUUGAAAAAAAAAAAUGAUUAAUUCAUAUUAACCCAUUAACCAGACUUGAAUUCGUUGGUUUAAUGAGUUGGAUUGAGAUAUUCCAAGUGUAAGUUUUGAGAUAAAUAAAAAAGAUUUGAACUUAUAUAAUGUCGCAUUUUUGUAUUUAUAUUUUCAAAACUACAGUAAUUCAGCAAAUAAAGAGUAUAAUAAAUAAAGGCAAUUCUAACCCAAUUUAGACAACCCUGUUUUCAACUUAAAUUUUAAGCAUCUCCAUUUUUUUUUUUUUUAACAAACCAAACUAGCCUACCGAAGUUGAUUCCAAAGAGAAUCGAAUUUAAGACUUUGAAAAAAAUACACUCCAAAAUCUCAAGUCAAGACUACCAAACCAACUUAAGUGGAUUGAGACUCUCUCCAUUCUAUUUGCGUAUAUCGAGUAUACAUACAUUAUUUUCUUUAUAAACUUUUCUUCAAGUUUUUUAUUUAUUCUUUGCUGUUUCUCUCUUUAUAUCAGAUGUGCCCAAUAGGUCUAGAAUAGGAAAUAUAUACAAAUUUUCAAUGUAUCAAAUUAAAUAACAUAAUAUCGCGGUAAAAUACAGUGACCUCUUUUUUUCCUCCCGUCUCUUCUUCUAUCAAAGCAUUUCUCAAAAUAAAAGCUAAAACCUUCUAAAAAUGCCUGUUAAAUUGUGUGCCUACGAAUUUACUCUAAACCCUGUGAUAUUUGAAUUUUAUCUUUUUUUUAUGACUGUCAAUCACUUACAUUUUCUGUUCCUAAAGAGAAAAUUGUUUAAACAAGGUAUCAAAUGAAGAGCCAUAGUCCACAAUAACCAGCCAUGCUACAUGAUCUUCUUCUACAGGUAGUUGCAUCAACUCCACAAUCGUUAUCAGUCAAACACCUAUGAUCACUACGAACAUCGGAGAUGUGGCAAGCACUCUCUAUAUGUUGACCUGAAUUUAAAGUCAUAGCAGGACAUACUUGCAAUGACAUUGCACUGGCUCGAUUUGCUGGUUGUCUCUGCACAUAAAAAUAUAUUUAUCAAUAUUUUCAAGUUCAUGUGUUUUAAGUUUGUGUGGAUCAUAAAGAAAAGUAUAGGAGGUCCAUAGUCCACUAUACUCCCUCCGGUCCUAUUUAUAAGAAACAUUUGACUUUUUUGAUUAAUUACAUAAAUGAUGUAUUUGGUCUAUAUUCUAAAGAAGAUACAUCAAUUACUCAAUGAAUCUAAAAAGUCAACUUUUUCUUAUAAAUAAGACCGGAGGGAGUAGAUAGUACUCUAAUACUUUUUCUAUACUUUUUCUUAGAAAAAAAGAGAGCAAUUCAUCUCUAUGAGGGUUAUGUGGGGAUAUACUAUUUGUUAAUAAAGAAAAGUUUAGGAUGUCCAUAGUCCGUACACUACUUACUAUUAUCUAUAAUUCUAUAUAAACAAAAUGCAUAGUAUCAUUAAAGCAAAUUGUUAAAAUACCUUCAGAGUUGUCCAAUUAGUUGGAAUGUAUGUUUGUGGAAGCUCUUCAUGCCAAGUGCUUAGUACUGGAAGGGGAUGACCUUCAGUGGUAAAUACGUAAUUACUGUCGACCAUAAAUGAAUCAUCAAAGAGAAGAUACAAAUAUUUACACCUGCAGAAAGCACAUGAUCACUAAUCUUAGAAAAUUUAAUGUUCUGUAAUGAUAUGAGUGAGGAUUUCCAUUUUUUAUUUUUAUUUCUUAAAUGAAAGAGGAAAGGCAAAAAGAUCUUACGUUUCAGCAAGAAAAAAACUAUGUUGAUGAUCUUCUAACUGCAUAGUUGUCACAUCCUUGAUGCUUGCAAACCCACCUUCUACUCUUGUGUGUAAAUUAAGGGAAUUGACUAUUAAUUCGCCAACUUCAAUAUACCAUGGAUCUGAGAUUAACAAAUAUUGAUGUGAACAAGUGAUGUGAUGUAUCGUUGAUUCGUUAUACCGUCAAAUUGAAAAAAGAAUAGCUUCGCUGAAGUGACGAGUGUACUUUAUAAGAUAAGAAGAAAAAUCAUGACCGUUUAUCAGAAAAUUAGUUGUUGAGAUCUCAACAACUUCAUAGUUUGUUACAUACGUGUAUGCAUUUUAUCAAAAUCUCAACUGUUGAUUACCCAACGGCUAUCCCUGCACUUUAUCCUCUAAAGUACACCUCCUCACUUCAAAUGAGUCAAAUAAUUGUGAUAUUGUUAUGAUGUUAUGUUGAUACAAAACACUAAGCUAAUACUCAUUUUUUUAUGUCAAUAUUCUAGGUUAAUUGCUAAUAACAAAUUGAACAGGCCUGGCUGCAAUGCAAGCUUAUUCGACUAAAAUAUUGUUAUUCGCUAUAGAUGACCACUUAAAUUUAGAGUCAUUAGAUUUUGGUCAUUUUUAUCAUCUAAAGAAGUAUUUACAAGUGUAGCAACAAUCUUAAGAGUAUAUUAAUAGAAGCAGUCAAACAGAAAUGCCAAAAUAUCAAUAAACUGAAAAUACAAACAUAGAAGAAUUGUCGGACCUUUAGUAGCUUGAUAUAAGUAGAAUGUUGACUCAGCAAACUCAGGGCGUAACGGAUAAUAUUUUUCAGUAGGAUGAAGCAUCUGAUGGUCCAGCAAAUACCUUAACAUGGAUUUAUGAUUGAAUGUGAUAUAUAUUAUCUAGUACUGUAAUAACAAAAAGAUAAUGAUAGAAUGAUGGCGAUAUACAAUAAGACCGAUGUUAUAAAGAUGUUAACUAAAUCAGAAAAUACCUCUCUGGCAGCACUCCAAAUUUCUUCCACACAUAGAAGAACUCACGGUGAGAUGAAUUAGCAGCAGAUAUAUCCCCAAUAAGAACCUGGUUUACGCAAGUCAUAGACAAACUCAGAAAGAUACCAAACAAAAUUUCUAAUCUGUGAUUUUGAAGUCCAGCUACUAACCUGUAGGCCAGGCCAAAAUGCUUGAAGACUUGUAAGCUGCCAAUAAGUUGCUCUUCCUGUCCUCAUAUCAGCUUCGUGGUACCUGUGUUACAUCAACUAACCUGGUUAUAACUGUUGAUCAGAUUUUCGUCAAUAACUUUCAAUUUUAAAAUUACCGGAUAAGCAUGCUAGUAAAACAAACACGUGUUUCUUGCAGUUAAAGUGGUACCAGGGACCGUGUCUGAAAUGCUUCUGCACUGCAACAUAAGCAGAAUGAAACAUUCUCCAAUAGUCCUCCUUUCCGAAAAGGAUAUGAGCUUUAAGUAGAUAUUCAUAGAAGGAAUCUACACCUAAAAUAAUUCAGGAAAAUAAAUCCAACAUAAUAAACAUCAAGUUCAGCUCGUUGGCAUUUGUAAGUUUAGAAGUAACUUAAAAUAUCAAACAGCAUUAUUGUCAACAGCAAAAGGCACAGUUCAUUUGUAAAUUCAAUGGACAAUAAGUAUGCAAUUGAUAGGCUAGUUUGCCACAUGAACUGAAUGAUAGACAAUAUCACAGUUUAGAGCUAUUUACCAGCUCCAAUUCCUGAAGAAUGUUCAAUCCAUUGCCCAGUUGACACGUCAAGUGUGGUUCCAAAUAAUUUUAAUAAGCUCUGCAUACUCCAUAGCUUACGGAGAGCUCGUAAAGCUACUGAUUCAUAUAUGGGGUCACCAGUCAGUUUUGAUAAAGCACCCAUUUCAAGAAUCAACGAACCUGCACAAAGUUGGAAAUUUAUAAGCAACCAGACUUAACAGUUUUACUAUACUCUAGUCAUAAAGUACUAAGGUUGACCUCUCACCACACCCUGAAGUGCUUGUUUCUGUAGUCUCAUUCUCCAUUACUCCAUACUGUGCACAUAAUAUUUUGUAUUGGUAUGGAGUUAUAUAUCAUUCAUUCUAAAAGGAUGGAAGACAAAAGAAAGAAAAAGCAACAGAUUAUAAUUUAUAUAUCUUAUAUUCCUAAAAAACUGAAGCAACAUGGUUCAAAUACAAAGACAAACAUCUAAUAAUAACACUGCAAGAACAAGGCUUAACUAUCCCAUAUAUGAUUAUUGAUUGCAUUGUUGUCUAUGAUAUUCCAUACGGAGAAAGAUGUUAUACUUUACUAACUUUUUUUCUUGAAUAUUAGUGAUGUAACGAGAACUCCCAACAGUUGGGGUAUUAUUACCUAUCGUUCAACAUUCAAAAUAAAAAGUGAUGUCUCCACGUCUAUAUAAAAAGUUUACAAAAUCUCGGACAUUUGAGUGUUUUAUACAGUACCUUCAAGUUAAUCCAUGCAUAUGGUAAUCCAGUAGGCGUAUUGAACGCUGGUAGAAAACGUUUCCCUAAAUCUUCAGCCAGGCCUAGUAGCUCAUUCUUGUAAGAUCCUUGUAGCAACUUCUUUGAAGAAUCAGAUGCCAGUAAAUGAGCAGAGACAAGUCCUCCAAGAACUCUAAUGUUGCACUGAAUGAUUCCAAAUUCCAAUCAAGUGAGAAGUAAAACACAAUAUUGUGCUUCAGAAUCAAGUGCUCAAAAUAAAUAGUCUUCUGAAAUCAUUCAGAAAUAAAUUAAAGCAAACAACUUUCCAAAUUCCGAGCAGUCUGAUGUCAUGUUACACAGAGCUAUAGAAUCCAUAAUGUCAACCAAAUCAAGAAUUUACCUCAAAAAGAUUAAUGCGAGCAUCAACGUCAAAUUUUAGAUUUUCUGAAAGCCAGCGUACUCCCUUCUCGAAUUCGGUAUUGUUGCCCAUAAUCACAAGGCUAGAGACACAAGAACCAUAUGUAUCAGUUUCCAGUUCAACAAGAUGUGUUCAACAGAGAAAGCACCAAACUGAAUAAAAACAGAACUACACAAACUACUCUAAUUCAUCUAGCAGCUGUAUCAAAUACCUAGACAGUGAUUCAAUUAGCGAAAGGGCAGAACCAUUGUAGUCUUGCGGCAAACGUUCAAGCUGCAAUAAUAAACGGUUACUUUUACAGUUCUCUAACUAACUUUCUUCUUACGUUCUUGAAUAUAUGUCAUUAAUUAUUUACCUUCAAAUUUCCCAGCUCGCUUAGGGAAUCGGUGAAAGUUUUCGUGAGAGGUUUUAGCUCAUCGUGCUGCAAGAACAUGACAAUCUUAACAUUGCAUUCUGUGCGUACAUUAAUAAACAACAAAUAAUGAGUAACAUUAACUAACCGGAAAUGCAUGAGUCAUAUAGUUGUCAUAGGCAUGGUGAAACCUACAAACAACAGUAACAGAAAAACAAGAGUGAUAAGUAUUUAUUUAAUUUCAAAUAAGAACAAAAUAUUACUCAAAAUUUGGAACAACUUUCUUUGACCAAGAUUUGCUUAUAUUUUCAGCAGGUUGAGUUAGUACUUAGCCUAAUACAAAGGUUAUGGAAAUUCUUACACCCUUCUUCAACAAAAUUUCUAUGUUGAUUUUUCAAUGUAUGGAGAUUUAAAAAUGAAACAAAAUUCACGGAUUGAAGUUGCAUAAUAAUUUGUCAAUAAUCAAUGCUUUAUAAACCUUAAAUUUAAGCCUUGUUUUUGAUAAUUCAUAACUUAACCGAUCCAAACUAUUGAUUCAUCUAAAGGAGCUAAAAAUUGGUGUAGAAAUAGGAUCAACGAAUUGAAAUAUGGUGAUAGAAUUUACAUACAUAUUGCGAACUUUUUCUCCGAGGCGUUUUUUCUUGGAAGACCAAUGGGGUUGAGAGUGAGAGAAGGAGAAGGUGGAAAGUACGAGAAGAAAGAUAAGGAGACAUGUCAAAAAGUAGCGACGAGGAAUCAUUGUAUUUCGGAUGUAGAAAGAGGUUUGAUUCGCGGACUUGGUUUGAAAAUGUUGUUGAAAGGGGAAAGAACAAGGAACAGAACAGAACAGAACAGAACAGGUCGUAUAGGUAAGAUCUGCUUGCUUCUCAUGUGUGUUUCAAUUUCAUAGAUAGAUGAUGAAUUUCGAGAGUACACGUGAGUUGUACAAUUAAAAAGUAUGAAAAAUAUAAUUAAAAAAAAAAUCAAAAAUAAUAUUUUGUUAAAAAUUGUAGAUCCUCCAAUAGAUAGGGUCUAUAUUGGACGGCACCUCAUUCAAUAGUAGAUAGUUCUCAUCCGCACUUGUAUUUGCUCCGAUAUUAAAUUUAAACAAAAUUAAAUACAUUUAAUUUUAAUUAUGGAGAAAGGAGAAUCCACAGUUUAAUCUACUUCAAUUAUAAUAAAGAUCGUUUCUUUGACAAAGUUGUCAUAGUGGCUUUGGAGGAGCGACAAUGGGGAUUGGAGUCUGAGGCGGUUGACUAGGUGGGGGACGCACCACUAGAAAGAGAAUUGUCAUAGUAAGUUUGGGGAAUCCGAAGGGUGAGGCGAGCCAGUCAAGGGGUUGGACAUGGUCUAGUGGCUCUAAAGGCAGCACAAGAGGGGAGAAAGCAAAGAGAGAAGCGCCAUUAAAUGGCUUAAAAUUUCGCUGGUUCAAAUCUUUACAAAACCAUUUGCUUUUUAAAAAAGACGGAGGAGAGAGGAAGACCUACACCUAGGAAGAGAAAGACACAUGACAUAAAACCCCAACUAGAAGUUAAAAUUAGAUAACAUUUGAUAAAAUUGUACCGAAGCUCAAAAGUUGUUUUAUACUGAUUUAGUGUUCAUCGGAUAGAUGUAACUUCAACUUUUCAAGAUUCAAAUCAUAUUUUACUAUUGUUUCAAUUAAUUUUUAACUUCUUUGAUUUCAGUGAGUCUCAGACUUCAGUUGUGGGUUAGAGAAAAUUGAAAUCUAACUCGUGAGUCGUGAUGUUAAUCAAACUUGCGGAGGCUCUUACAAUUAGAGCUAACAUUUUCAGCUAAUGAAGAGUGGUGAAGUGUGCCAAAGAGGUUUGGCUGUCCGCUUUGGAUUUGGGUCAUCCGUUGUUGGAUUUUCACCUUGGUCUCUAAUCUCUAAUGGUGGCAAGUUCUGGUAGGUGGUUCACUUCUUUCAAUACUUGCAAAGAGAAACAUGGAAUUAGAAGCAUAAGUAAAUGCAUCAGUAAGAACCUUUGAUGCAAACUUUAGAACAAAUGUUAUCCUUAUCAUUCUAUAAACAGAAUCAGAUCUCGCAUAAAAGACCAAAUGAUCCAAUUAGAGAUUGACCAAUUUCAUACAAUCCAAACUAAACCCUUCAUGUGUUUUCAUGCACCAGCACAAAAUUGCGAGCCUUUCUUCUAACUGUUCUCAAAAGAGUUAUCCUGCCUAAUUCUAUAACACUAGUCAGUAGGGUUCUAUAUAGUUAGAAGAUCAGAGUUCCCGUGUUGAACUGGGAAUCAAAAGAUUGAAAGAAAAUAAGUUUUCAUAAUUCAAAGAUCAAACUGGCUCUUUGUUAUAAUUUAAUAAAGGACAAGAGCUAUCAUUGAAUUUCUUCUGUUGCUUGUUCCCUCUUUUACUCGAGCAGUUACUGCAAAGCUUCCCGUGAGUAUACAGAAGGCAAUUAAGGUCAAACUUAAGUUCAUCCGGGAUCCUUUGGUUUAGAUGAAGGUAAGUCUUGUUUCUGUCUGCAGCAGCUGGUACCCAACCCAUGGUUUUCGCAAUCUCAAAUAUCUGCAUAAAUAUUCAAGUUUUAAGAAAUAACUCAAUGGAGUCAUAUGCUGUAAAAGAAAGAUGGAAUCAGUAGUACAUACGUGAGUGUCCACAGGAAAAUCAUCUAGCUGAAGGUUGAACAUCAACACACAAGACACCUAUAUCAAUCACGUAAUCAGAGAAACCAACAUAAAGAAGGAAAUGAUCUAAACAUUUAUGUUGAAUUUGAAUAUUAAUUUAAGAGCAUUGCAAAUUUUGACAUUAUGAUACAAAGAUGGAAUAAAAUACAAUCAACAUUGAUAUAUCACCGAUACAACAAAUUAUCCUAUUAAUAACAUUUAUCAUACUUAAUCUCUAUGUAUUGGUGAAAAAGAGUUACACAAUUAAGUCAAGGUCUGAUGACUAGGUACCAUGAUAUCCCCCCCAAAACAAAAUGGAAAAGUCCUUCCUUCAUCUGAUUUGAAAAUUAUCCUCCUCAUGAAAAAGAUUUUUAAGAAAACAAUGUCCUAAACAAGGGAACUUUUUUAUACUUCAAGAAAAUAAGCAACAAGGUGACAGGUAACGAAUCACUUUACUCCCCAGGCCAAGCCAGGGUCUGUUUUCUGAUAAUGGGAAUUCAAUAGGCUUUACAAGAGUCAAUACCUUAUAAGCAUGUGCCCUGACCAUUAAGCCCAUUGUCUCACAUUACACAUAACAUCAAAAUUAAACCUAUUAUCUUUUUAAAAAAAUCCAAACCUGUUUGAAUUGGAAAUGACAUCAGGUAAGGAAAAUUGAAUGGGAGGAAAACAAAAUUAUGCGCCAGAGUUCAUGUUUUUAUCAAAUCACAACUAACACAUUUAUUUUUUCUUAUAAAUCGUGGUGGGCUCUAACACAACCCCACAAAACGGGCUUGUGAGGUGAGGAUUACCCCCACUUAUAAACACAUUGUCAGGCCAUCUCUUAUCCGAUGUGGGACUCUUUAACAUUUUUUUCUACAACGUAUUAGCUUUGCAGCUGCAUAUGAGCAUUGUUGUUUAAAAAGCCAAAGGAAUUAAGAUACUCGGAUAAUGAGUUCCAAAGUCUGUUGCAUAUUGCAACUGUAACGUUGUAAUUCAAGUGGAAAACGUUGUACACUAUCACAUAUGAUUCAAUUCUAGAAAGAAAUGACAAGGUUACAUCUAGGGCAUGUUUAGAAGAGCUUAUAGAAACAAUUUAUGACAUGUCCAUAAGGUGCUUUAUAGCUUAUAUGAAAACAUAUUGACUUUGUUUUAUCUUUUGCUAUAGAAAUAACUUAUACAUAAACUUGUAAACACUUAUGCUAUAAACUGUUAAUUGAGUUCUUUAUUGAAACAUGGCCCCAUUCGUAAUUUUAGACAUGCCUUCAAAAGCAAUCCUAAUCCUAAUACCUUAUAUAUAACAAUGAUAAAUAAAUGGUUCAGGUGAUUAAAAUGGUGAUCACAUUAUUUUGAUUAACUAAACAACCAAUAAGAUACUAAAAAAAGAGAUUAGGAAAAGAAGAUUACUGUUUUAGGACCAAUUCCUUUGAAAAGAGACAACUCAGCUUUAACUUCAUCAACAGAUAAAUCUCUCAAAUACUCCAAACACAUUUUCCCCUUUCUCUCUAACAAACAACUCAACAAAUUCUUAAUACAUUUCGCCUUAGUCGGCGCUAAACCUCCACACCGAAUAGCAUUCUCCAACUCCUUACUCUCAGCACCAUGCACCUUAAAUAAACAAAACAACACUGUUUAAGAUAACACACAACCAUAAAUUAUAAACACAAUAACACUUUAACGAAGUUGCUACAUACAUGUUCCCAUGUAGGAAAUAACGAUUUAAGGGAAGCAAAAGCCUUAUUGGAAUUAGCUUCUGUUGUGUUUUGUGAGAGUAUGGUUCUGACUAAACCGUCGAGAACGGUUUCCGGUGGCUCCACGGUGUCGUUGGUUUGUUGCGAUUUGCGGUAUUUUGCGAGUUCUGGAGGUAUGCCGUGGAGGGAUAAGAGAUUGUCGCGUAUUUCGAGGCAUUCUUGUGGGGUGGGUGCGCUGUGUGAAGGGAAUGGGUUCUUUGGAUUCUCGGUUUUGAUUUGGGGUACCUGAACUGAGUUUGGGUUUCGAUCGCCGUCGCGCUCCGUCUUUACCUUCCUUUUUCGCUUCUUUUCCAUUAUUUUCUCGGGUUAAGCUUUACAAUUUCGGGUGUUUGUGUUUGGAUUAAAAUUCGUAUUUGUUGUUUCCAAUUUUCGAUAGGAUGAUUUAUUGUUUAUAUUUUCAUUAGAUGCGACUUCCUUUUUAAUUAUUGUUAAUCGACUUUUGAGUCACUGAGUCAAUGGUAAAUUCACUAGAUUAUUGGUCGAACCAUAGAAAAUAAUCAGAUUAAAUCGGUUGAUUCGAUUGUAUCAUUCAUUCUUUAGAAGAAAAAUUACGUAAUACAUUGGAUGAUUUUGUUCUCUAAAUUUUUUAUUACACUUAUAAAAAAUUAACAUAAUUUCACAAGUUUAUUUUUCAAAUUUAAUUCAUUGACUAUAAUUUAAUUACCAAUCAAAUACAAAAAUUAAUUUUAAACACAAAUUUGAUUUUCAUAAAAUAAAAAUUAUUUUUAUUUUUGACAAAAAAAAAAUGGUAUUAUUCACAACAAUAUCUACAAGCAAGUGUUUAUUUUGUGUUAAAAGUAUUUGCAUAUAAUUUUGAAAUUUAUCACAGAUCUAAAAUUAUGAAAAAGAUAAUUGAACAUUAAAUUAUAAGUUGUUUUAUAUAAAAAAAAAAAAAAGGUUUAAUUGCACUUUUGGCCCCCUAUCUUUUCAAAAGUUACGAUUUUGGCCCUCUAACUAAUUAAAAUACAAAACAGUCACCUAUGUUUUAAACCUUUGGCAGUUUUGGCCCCCAAGGCCACUUUUGACUUAGUCUUCGCUGACGUGGCACCCACAAUCGUCGACACAUGACACCUCACUUAAGGGAUGUGGGAGCCACGUCAGCGAAGACGAAGUCAAAAGUGGCAUUGGGGCCAAAACUGCCAAAGAUCCAACUCAAUAGGGGGGUUGUUUUGUAUUUUAAUUAGUUAGGGGGUCAAAAUCGCAACUUUUGAAAAGAUAGGGGGCCAAAAGUGUAAUUAAGCCUAAAAAAUAAUAGAAGAGUGAUAUUUGUACAACUCAUUUUAAACAACUUUUGAGACAACCAUUUUUCCUCUCUUCUUAUUGGAUAAAAUGAAUAGAGAGAGAAAGAAGAAGAAGAGAGAGAAUAAAAACACAUGUGAGUAUGAGAGAGAGAGAGAGUUGUCUCCAAAAUUGUCAAAAUUUGGUUGUACAAAUAUCAUUUCUCAAAAUAAUAAUAAUGUGGAGUUAUGGUGAAGAAAAACACCAUACGACCCAAUUACUUGCAACACAGACUAUCAAAGCAUUAGCUAGUUUUUAGAUAUGAAGCCGGAUACAUGAUACGAUACUGUACCGAUACGUCGAUACGAGAAAAUUUUAAAAUUUAAGAUACGAUACAGUUUGGAUACUUCAAUAAAAAAAAUUAAAUUUAGACUACAUAUUAAAACUCUAAAUACAAAAUAUGGACUAAAACUCUAAAGAAAAAAAUUGACGCAAAACCUAGACCAAGCAGACAUAGAAAAACGAUAAGGCACAAUAAUGAAAUUGCCUUCACACAUCAGUCAACAAUAACAUCGUUCUCAAACAAACAAAGAGACACAAAACAGACGGCGACAACGAUAGAAACAUAAAUGUAAGUAAUAUUGAUAAUAAAGAAAGCGACAAAUUAGUCAAUUACAUAUAUAAUAUAUCUUAAAUAGAAAACAUCAUUACCUAGUCAAUUAUAUAUAUAUAUAUCAAAUAUAAUAGAAACAUCAGGUAGCUCGCGCAUAUCAGUUUCCACCGCCUAUCGUUCGUAUUCCAUAUCAGGAAGUAUCGGGCAGGUAUCGGUGCAGGAUACGCAGAAGAUACGAUACGUCGUCCAUUUUGAAGUAUGUGGGCUUCAUAAGUUUUUAGUUAGCAAAAUAUAACAACUUCCCUUGAUUAUUAGAAAGUUAGUUAUGAUCCUAUGCAAUAGAGUUCAUAGUAGCUUAUUAUACUCUCUCAUAGGAUCUCUAUGAAAAAUUAUAAUUGUUUCAUUCUCAAGUAAUCAAGAAAACCAUGAUUCACCUUUUAAUAUUUUUUAUCGUUUUUCAAUUCUCUCAACAUAGAUAUUACUAGAUGAAGAAUAUAAUGGACAGAUUUAUACAUGAUAGAAAAAUCUUGAAUAAAACUGUUAGCUUCAAUUAUUACCUUGAAAAUCUAAAGAAAGAAUUGCACAUUACUUUGCAACCUUCUCAUGAUAAAUUUUGAGACUUAAAAUUAACAAUUCUUAUUGAGGGUUAACUAACUUUUUGUGGUGGGUUAAUUAUAGACUCUUUUAGUUGUUGUUAGCUUAGAAAAAAAGGGCACCCCAUCCACUGUUUCAUUUCUACCUGUCCUAGAAGAUAUCUUUCAUUUUCUCAACCUUCAAAAUUGAGUCGGGCAAGUAUCUACUAUAUUUAUAAAGAAGUCAAUAGUUGUGCAUAUUUUCUAUAAAACUCGGGGCACCGUGAAUAUUUUAAUUGGACUAUAUUUUUUUCUCCUCAUCCCUCUCUUAGUAUUAAUUUACACUUCGAUGUAAUGGAAUCCAAAUAUGAGAACAACAUCAGUGAUCGACUUUUUUUUAAGGCGCCUUCUAGGGUGGGAGAGCUUAAUAGGUCUCCCACCGUGUAAGAGAGUGAAAAAGUAGCAAGUGCAUUGUACACCCUCCCACACCUUAUCAAUUUCUGUUCUCUCUUCUUUCUAACUCCUACAAUUUCUCUCCCUGUUUUUUUCUCAACAACACAUGGAAAUGAUUUCCGAACACAGUUCUAAACAUAACCAUUUUAUAUAACUUACUCCAUUAUUUUUCAGAAUUUUUCUAGUUCUUAAGUUUCAGCCAAAAAUCUUUUUAACUUUUUCACUGUUGGAAUAAGAAACGGUUCUUCAAGAGAACCAUGGAUCUAAACUUAAGAUGAAUACCCAUUAUAUAUAUUAUCAAAUAAGCAAAAUUAUUUCUUCAAGAGAAGUAUGAAUCUGAACUUUACUGGAAAGUACCACUAGGGUAAUUUGAUAAUAAGUUUCAAAUUCAAUUGAAAUGUUUAAAGAAAUUUCCAUAGUUAGAAUAAGAAAUGUUUAAAAUUCAAUUAAACAACUUCAACUGAAAGUAACUCUAAAAAAAAUUAGACACAAAAAUGUUUCCUUUUCUUCAAUUGGAAAUUAGACACAAAAAUGUUUCCUUUUCUUCAAUUGAUGAAUGAGCGAUAAAGGGUUACGAUGAUAAUGGAAGGAUAAACGGUGAGCAUGAAAUGGCAGCAAAGGUGUUUUUAGAUUUGUUUCUCAGCUGAUAGCAUAAUGAUUCUUUCCAUAGAUCUUCAACAGUGCAAAGAUGGAAGAUGAUUAUUUCUACAAGGGUGGAUUUGGACAAGGAAGAACCAAGAGGAGAGAGAAUAGAAAACGUGAGAUGAAAUAAAAUGUAUUUAAUGUUGUUAGAGUAUGAUAGUAAUCAUAGAGCUUUCACUAUCCAACGGCUGAAAAUAAAUAUUUUUACUCUCCCACGGUGAGAGACCUAUCAAGCUCUCCCACCCUAGCCUUGGCCUUUCUUUAAUGCAAACAUAUAGCCUUAAACCAAACUUGAUAUGUCUAUCCAACUUAGUGUGUGUUUAGUUUCCCAUUUGCAACACACAAAAACAUAUAUGCAUAUUUCACGGUGCAUUUUUGUCGUGAUUUCGAAAAACUCCAAACACUAACUUUUACACCAACGUGGUUUUCAUCAAACCACGUUUUACAAAAUGGUGCCAAACAUGCACUUAGCCUAUGCUUUGAACCACAUUACAAAUUCAUUUAUUGUGUUUCAAGAAACCUUUUGCUGCAUUUUUGUUUAAGCUAUAGGAAAUUAUAGCUUCUAUUCUGAGUUCUGACGCACAUCCAGCAUAUUUAAACCGUGGAAACAAACAAAUGUAUUAUACUCUUUUUCCAACUAUACCCUUAUUAAUACCUACCAAUUAUAUUGGAAUAUGAACACUCAACAUUGAAUGCAUUUAUACAAAAAGGGCAAUUUAGUAAUAAUAAUACAUUUUUCAGACAUAUUUAUUGCUCCAACAACUUUUCUUAAUACCUGUGAUUUUUGUAAAAUAGUCUUAUAAAAAAGGACAGAGGGGUAAUUUAAAAGGGAACAAAAAGUUAAGCCGUGGGAACAAUCAAAUGUACUCCCUCCGUCCAAAAAUGUAAGCAAAAAUUUGCCUUCAAAAGUUAAUAUUUUUGGACGAAAAUUUAAACCAAAUGCAUUAACUUUUGUUGACCAAUUAUUACUUACAUUUUAUGACGGAUGGAGUAUUAAUUUAAAAGGGAAAAAAAAAACGUAUUUGAAUAAACAAUAUAAACAAAACAACAAAUCAAUUUUUGGUACAAUUUAAACCAAGUGGUUUGAUCACAUGAUAUAUGUCAAUUGAUGGAGAUAAUACAUUGUAGUAUGCAUGGACUGAUAUUCAAACCUCAUAUACUCUAUCUAUUCACUUUAAGGUAAACUAUAGUCAUUAAAUUAAUUGGCCAAAAAACCAAAUGGCUUAGUGAAAUAGUUAAAGUUAAAUUGUUUGAGGGAGUUCAAGUAUGAAUUGUGACUUCCUUAAAAAAAAAAAAAAAAGUAUAAAUUGUGACUAAACAUAAUAUUUAGCCGCAUUUACUUAUCUUUCUGUCAAAUAAUUUAGAUUCUAGGGGCACAUAUUUUUCCACGGGACAAGAUGAUUAAGAUUAGGAAAAUGUUAAAGAUUUUUUUCUUAGGACACUUAUUAGGAUCUAAUUGGGUUCCUACGUUGCUUUGGGAUUUUAUAGUGUGUUUCUUUUGAGGUCAUAAAUUUAAUUUUUCCUUUUAUGCUAAUUUUGGUGGGAUAAUCCAUAUAAACCUUUGUGCUGCCUUUAAAUGGAGCCCCAUAAAUGGUUGUUGAAAUUGAACUCCUCAAAUUAGUUAAUCUUUUGGUCAGAUAUCAAGUUUUAGAAAAACAAACAUAAUAACUUAUCUUACAAAAAUUUAGAAAAACAAACAUAUAACUUAUCUUAAAAAAAAUAUCGAGUAUUCAGUCUUUGAAAAUCUUUUUGACUUUAAAAAUUGUUGUUCCUGAUGUAAACUUUUUUACUUUUAUUUUCCUAACAAAUCCUUGUUAACAUGACCCUUAAGAUUAAAAGAAAAUAGACGAACACAAUCAUUUACUUUAGAUUUUUGUUAGGUGUAUAUAAUACUCGAUCGUUUACCUUUAAUUUGAAAUAAUUUUUUCAAAGCGACGUAUAAUUUAGGACGAAGAGGAGUAAAAAUUUAAAAGACUAACUUGUUUACAUUUAAAACUAAAGAAACUAAAAAAUUAAUCCGCUACAAACUUUAAAUUUAAAGGACUUAUAAUAUAUUUUACCAAAUUUAAAUUACCAACGAAACAAACAAAAAAUAUUAAGAGAUCAAAGCAAAACAUAAAAUUAACUAAAGGGCGCCCAAUAUAUACCCACUGUUUACCAAAAUUCUCAAGUUAAUAUUGGCACAAGUAACGAUUUUCUUGAUGAGUUGCAGUCCUGUCUCAUCUUACCUGCAUUUUCUCAUUAGCAGAGAAUGAUAUAUAAUGGACUUAAUUAUCUUUUUGGUCCUUUAACUAUUUAAUUGGUAUUAAAUUGGUUCUCUAACUAAAAAUUGAUUUUUUUCGGUUUUCUAAGUUUCUCACCGUUACUACAUUUAAUCAUUUCUGUUAGUUUUAUUCAAGGUAAAACUAACAGAAACCCCUAACGUUUAUUUGAAUAAAACUAACAGAAAUGACUAAAUGUAAUAACAGUGAGAAACUUAGAGGACCAAAAUAAAUCAAUUUUUAGUUAGAAGACCAAUCCGACACCAAUUAAAUAGUUAGAUGACCAAAAAUGUAAUUUAGCCUAUAUAAUGUUUUUACCUUGCCAACUCAAUUUGUACUUAUCUAAUUAUUAUUACUAUACGACAAACCAAUCAUAUCCUGAUCCAAUAUGCUAUUUGGUGCAGCAAUAGGAAAUGAUAAAUUAAACUUAUUUCUAAUCCUAUCCUAUUCACCUUUUGUUUUUCUAAUUCUUUGUUUUUGAUGGGUUAGCAACUUGAUAGGAAAAACAUCACAGUGUAUUGUUUUAUUAACAAAGGAACCUGCUUCAACUCCCACCGCAACCACUCCACUCUGACUUUCAAUUUUUUUUUUCCUUCUAAUUUUAUGCUAAUCGACAUCAAAUUCUAUAUUAAUCUGUUCCUAAUUCUGAAGUCAAUUUCUGAUUCGAUCCACAUCAAUUCCAGUCCUUCUCCAAAUGGUUCGACUAUUGGGGCAUAUGAAGAAAACAUGCAACAAACCCUCUGUUCCAGAAUCACACAACGUGCAAUCAACACUUCAAUCAUUAACCCAUCGUUCAUUACUCUCUAUAUAUGUAAUUAUAGUUUCUAAUUGACAAAAACAGAUUGACAAAAGUUGGAUCACUGUUCAAGUACGAUUCAAUUUCUAAUUUGAUGUCAAUUUCCGUUCCUAUUCUAAUUUGAGUUUGUGUUUCCAUGAAUAUUUUGCUGUCAAAUUUGUGCAUAAUAUUUUAAUGGCUUAAUACAUUGUUUGGUCCCUUAACUUAUUUUUCAUUUUCAAUUUGGUCUUCUAACUAUAAAGAGUCUCACAAUUUGGUCCCUUAAAUCUUAUGCCGUUUACUAUUUUGGUCUUCUCUGUUAGUAUUUUGCAAAAUCUGUUAACUCCUUUCCACAUGUCCUUCAAGAUUGAUGAUCAACAGUUAAAUUUAAAAAGCAUACAUCGGAUACUGUGGACUCACAACAUAUGAUAAUUUAUAUUGUCAUCUUCUUCCCUCUUCAUCUUCAUAUAACCUUCAUAGAAAAAAAAAUCCAAUUUUUUUCUUUAUAAAAAUUUAUCAUUUUAAUUUCAUCAAAAACCAUAUAAUUAAAUCCUUAAAUCUGAUAUAAACACCACCACCAUGAAUCAAACCCAUUUAUCAAAUUCAUGAAAAUUUCGAGAAACCUUUUCCUUCUUCCUCAUGGAAGCCUUUACUUUUUUGUUUUGCAUAGUUCACCCAGAAAAAUAAUUAAACAUUUAACUAAAUUUAUUGGUCUUAACAAUUUAUGUAAUAUUGAAGUUUUAUAUUCCGAUUCUUUACUUUAUCAAAAAAUUAAUAGAAAUUUUUAUUUAUGGGUUUCUUCAUCCCAUUUCUUCUAUUCUCCGGUUUCUUCUUUCGGUUCAAUCAUCCUGAAAUUGUAGCGAAUCGCGGUGAACCAUAAUCUGGUGUAGUUGUUUUCUGUUUCAUCAUCGUCUUUGUAAUUAGAGAAAAUAAAUUUUCGUAAAUUGAAUUUCAGAGUGAGGGUUUUUGGUCUUUUUGAGGUACUCUUGAAGUGUUUUUGAAAGCUUACCGGCAUGGUUGUUGGUGGAUCCAUAGGGUUAAUUGAAUGAGUGAUUAAAGGUUCAAGAGGAGGAAAAAAGUAGUCACCCAUAAAUAGGAAAAAAGGAGAAGGAUAAAGGGAUGAACAAACCCAUAAAUUUAUUCGUCCUCUUUGUCAUCACUCAUCACUCAUCAUCUUCAUCAACUACAAAAUUGAAACCCAGAAAAUUCCAAGUUAAAAUCAAUAAAGAUUUUAUUAUUAUUAUCAUUAUUAUUAUUAUUAUUAUUAUUAUUAUUUCAUAGAUUUCCAAAAUUGAGUAACAAAAAAAAAAAAAGACUUCCAAAAUUGAAACCCAUAAACUUGAAUUUUCUGUAAGCAUGAAUUAAAAGUGGAAGAGGAGGAAAAUGGUGCAAGUUAGUUUGAAUUUUCCAACCAUAUAACACAUAAUCGUUAUCUGGUCUUGUUAAACACAUAAACAUCAAAUUAAACUUUUGCUAUAUGAGUUUUAAUUUGAUGAUUGGUGUGUUGCUUGUAGUGAUUUGGAUUAUUGUUUGUUGAGUUGCUUUUGUGAAGGCUUGGAUGAAGAAGAAGGAAAAGGUUUCUAGAAAUUUUCAUGAAUUUGAAGAAGGAAAAGGUUUCUAGAAAUUUUCAUGAAUUUGAUAAAUGAGUUUGAUUAUGAGUUAGAUGAUGGUGGUGGUGUUUAUUCCAAAUUUAAGAAUUUGAUUAUAUAGUUUUUGAUGAAAUUGAAAUGAUGAAUUUUUUAAAAGGAAAAAAAUUGGAUUUUUUUUUUUAAAAUGGAAUUUUUUUUCUAUGAAGGUUAUAUGAAGAUGAAGAGGGAAGAAGAUGAUAACAUAAAUUAUCAUAUGUUGUGUGUCCAGCUAUGUGUGCUUUUUAAAUCCAACCGUUGAUCACCAAUCUUGAAUGACAUGUGGAAAUGAGUUAACAGAUUUUGCAAAAUACUAACGGAGAGGACCAAAAUAGUAAACGGCAUAAGAUUUAAAGGACUAAAUUGAGACACUUUAUAGUUAGGGGACCAAAUUGAAAAUGAAAAAUAAGUUAAAGGACCAAACGAUGUAUUAAGCCUAUUUUAAUCUAUAGUUGCUUAUGUGGGCUAAUCAACAAAAAAAUAAUGUUAUCCCUUUUCUAAUCAUGUGCACAAAAAACAUGAUAGGAUAAAUGUUUAUCUUGUCACUGUUAUAUCCUAUUUUUAUCCAACCUCUUAUCCUAUCAUGCUUCUAUCAUAUCUUGUGCACCAAACGAGCCAUUAAGUUUUUGAAGGACCAAACAUAUUUUUCCCCACAAGACAAAUUAAAUGCAGCAAACUUGAAUGAAUAUUGAAUAGUAUCCGUCAUUCGUGAAUGGCGUACCUCUACCCGAUGUUGGGUCAACCAUGGUCUUGACUUGCCUAAGGCCAUGUCAGUGAACUCCACAACCAUUCAACCAAUGCAAAACGACAAAUUACUUUUGUACUUGUUUUGCAUUGCACACAUGUACAUGCGAAAAAGAGAUAUGUUCUCACCUCGUUGAUGUUCAUGUGAGAAAGCAAGGCAUGCGGUUUCUCAAACUACACUUACAGUACAGCAAGAGACACGGAAAACGUUUCAAGGAAAAUGUUUAAUGUUGAAGUUCGAAUAUUAUAAAAUAUAAUUAAUUUCUAAUUCAUUAACAUUUGUACAUAAAAAAUCUAGAUGUGUAGCAAUUCAUGAUACAAUAAGGAAUUUGGAGACAAAUCACAUUCAAAGCAAGGAUUAGAGGGAGAAAGAUGUGAUAAAUUCAAUCGUAAAGUAUUUAUAUCAAGAAGUUAAUUAAUUACGUUAUCUUAAUGACUUUUGUCCACGAACUUGUUAGGUGUAGCGUUCACUUCUGAAAACUACUCCAUCUCGCUCAUGAUCUUAACCUUUUUAUUCAUGAAUUCUAUUUCUAUACCCAUAUAAAUAUAAUUCACAGAAAAGAAACUGUGAAUAUCCAUCCAUAUAUAGUUUUUUUUUUGUCAAACUCGUCACUCUUAUACCUAUUAAUAUAAAAGAAAAAAAAAUGAUACAUAUAGGGCCAGGGAAACCCUAGCUAUAGUAACCAGCUAAACAAAAAUAGGUGCACAACAAAGUCCACAACUAUGAUUUCCCCUACUUAUAUCAAAGAAGAAAACCAUUUGAUUAUUAAUUUCUUUCAAAAUUACUAACUAAUAUUAAAAAAAAAAAAAAAAACUCCAAUAUAUUCCGUUCUCCUGCAUGAUUUUCUACACCAAACCACACAAGCCUUUCGAUCUAGACAAAAGAUUUUAUAUCGACAACAAUACCACUUUGUUUCUUCUCAUCAACAAAACUAUAACACUUACACUCAGAGAGAGAGAGAGAGAGAGAGAGAGAGAGAGAGAGAGAGAGAGAGGGGGGGGGGAAGGAAGACAGUGACAAAGCAUGCAAUCUAAGUACACAGGUAACAUAAUAUUCUUCUGCCAGAUCAAACAAAAAUUAAUUUGGUAUGAAAUAAAAACAAAAGAAAAUGAUACUUAGUAGUAGUAGAAGCAGCAGCAAUGGAAAUGGAAUAUUAAUUAUAACAAAAAGCAUAAACGGAUCGGACCGAGACGCUUGAUUCCCCAAGAGUUGAUGAGUAUAGUUGGAUCUUAGCAGCAAACACUAUAGACCCUACUCUCUUCACUCUUUAUAUAAUCAAGUUGUUGAAACUGGAAUAUUGAAGUAGCUAGGGUUUCUUCCUUCUCUGUCUUCCCCGUCUAGAUCUUCUUCUUCUUCAGCUUCUUUUGAGUGGAAGUAUUUGUGAUGGUGAAGGGGAUGAUGAUCAUCAUUAGCAAAAGUUUGGUGGAAGAUAAUGAUGAUGUUUGUGAUAAAAGAAGAGGUGGGAGUGUAAUGAUGGUUAGGGAUAUUGGUCAGAGAGAAAGGGAAGGAAGGUGAAGGAAUAAUGAUGAUUGUUGUUGGGUGAGGUCGUAGUUGAAAUGCUGAAGAAAAAUCCAAGGAAGUUCGUGCCAUCAUCAUCAUCAUCUCUCUCUCUGAGAAAGAGAAAGAGACUAGCUAGUAAUUGAUAGCUCUAUUCUCUCUCUCUCUCCCCCUUUUCUAUUGUGGGAUCGAAGAAUGAAUGAAUUAUCAUGAAAACUGUGGUGUCUACUUUUUUAUGCCCUCCACAUCUUGUUCGCGACGAAAAGGAAAUAUGACCCCAUUUCAUGUUCUUUGGAGAAAUAAUUAGAUUAUCACAUGCCACUCUAAUCAACAUAAAAUAUAGUACAAUCAUUGCAUAAUAUUUAGAUAAAAUAAUCUCAUAAACAUA
rnacentral:lncRNA from 1 species